UCCUCCUCCUGCGCUAGGCUAGCUCCCUUCGUUCCUUCCUUCCUUCGUCCGUCCGUCCCAGGCUGCGUGGCGUGUGCGUGCGGCGAUACGACACACGGGACUCACGCGCGGCGGCGGCGAGGGUUUUGCCUGCUGCCCUCCCCCCUCCCCACGCGGCGGCGGCCGGAGCGGCUAGCGGGUGCCCGUCGGAUCCGGAGGGAGGCGGCGGCGCCAUGAGGGGCGGCGGCCGGGGCGGCNACGGGAGGGGGCAGCUGCAGCAGGCCCGCGGCGUGGCCGCGGCGGCGGCGGGGGACGGGGCGGAGAUCCCGCACGCCUCGCGGAAGCUCGUGCAGGGCCUCAAGGGGAUCCUGGCCGACCGCACCGAGGCCGAGAUCUACGCCACGCUCCUCGACUGCGCCAUGGACCCCGACGUCGCCGUCGAGCGCCUCAUCUCCCAAGGUACCCUCGCCCACCCCGCCUGGAAUUCCACUCGUGUAUUAGUACUGGCCCAGCGGUUCGUCGGUCAGCGCUAGGGUUUGUAGCCGAUUGGCCUGCCUGCGUGCUAGUCCGCGCAGCUCGUUAGUGAUUUCGUCACUCCCCUUAGCCGUCGUAACCCCCAGCGUGGACGCUUGCUAUCGUACGUAUCGCUUGGCAAUCUGGCCCGGAUUUCUGUCUCGAUGUAGUCUAUGCGAUUUGUGUGUAUGUGCUGUUUGUUUGAUCCGAUGGGGAUUUGUGGUGCUCGAGAAUGAGCAAAGCAGUUACUGAGGAAGCAGCAGGUGGUGCCUAGUGGUGUAAGCAGGCUCAGUUCAGUGGGAGCUGUGGAUGUCUUGAUCCGUGUGUUGCUUCACUCUGAAGUUGCAUAUAAAUAGGAUAGUUGGUCCAGAUAGAGUGUUCACAUUUAAUAUCUUCAUUCAUCCAUGGUUGACUUAUGACUUAUGAGGCUGUUGUGUAAAAGGUUGCACAUUGCACUGAGGUCUAGAUAGUGUAGAAGCUUUCACUUGGAGAUUAAUCUUGCAUUUAUUAUUUUGUGAGUGUUAUACAUGCAUUCAUUAUUGGUGCAUCAUUCCUUUUGUUCAAAAGAGUGGCAGUUAUUUUGUGUGUUUGAAACUAGUACAUUUGGUAAUCUUUUUAUUCUUGGGAAACAAGUCUAUUAACUCACUAGAGACGAUGACAAUGGCCUUUCUUUGCAGUAAGAGCCGAGGGCAAGAUUCUCCUGUUCGUUUGUUUCUGUGGAUCGUACCUGUCCUAUGCUCAUGCACUAUCUAAUGCUUACAUGCACAUAUAAUUUCUCCUAUGGUUUAAAUGUAACCUUGAAGACCAACCACAAGCAACCAACUGUAUGUUGGCAAGUUAUCUAACUCUAUUGUCAUGUUUGUUCAGACCCCUUUCAUGAAGUGAGGAGAAAGCGUAGCAACAAAAAAGAGGUCAGUACAUAGAGAAUCCUUAAGCUUCAAAGAAUACAAACUUUGUUGGUGAUGUUCUUCAGUGCAUUUUUGGUAUUUCUGGUGUUUUAAGUAUGCCACUUGCUCGUUCUCCUGACAAACUCCUAUCACCUGCAGGUAAAAGCUCCUCAGGAAACAAGGUCUCGCCCAUUCUAUAAACCUGCAUACCGAGGUUCUAAGGUUGGUUCGGAUCGAGGUGGACGUGGUUACUCUGGUCCGGGAGGUAGCGUGCUAAAUUCUGUAUUGUGAUAUCAUAAUGAAGUUUGAUUUUGUACAGUUUAACUCAUUUUGAAUAUGUUAUCAAAAUGACAACAUAUCAGCAGACUCAACUGCUAGCGCUAAAGGUCCUAUCAAGAAGGAAACAGAGUUACUUCCGCCACCAAACACAUCAACCCCUGAUGCUGUCAAGGGGAGCAAUCCUAUGGAAACAAUUUCAGAAGCUGGGUAAGUAAAUAGAUCCUGAUCUUGCAUAGCUAUUCUAGCCAAAUAUUGAUUAUAUUAGUUAAAGUUUUUGCUCCUAGUUUUGGUGCACUUCUUGCAGUAGUUCUGUUGGGGCCAGUUCUUCUGGGGCUUAUGGUUGGCUGUGAAAAUAUUUUAGAAGCCCAGCCUAAAUUUUUAUGUUAGAAGCCUACUAAUUAAGGGUUAACUAGCAGGCUUCUAAAAUAAAUUUAGGUAGGACUUCUAGAAUUAGCUGGGGAGGGGGCAGCCUAUUUCCGGAGCCACACAUAAGCCCCAAAAGAACUGACCCUAUUCUCUGUUGUAAUUAUUGAUUGAUUUAUGUAGUGUCUGGUCCAGUCUUCUCUUUAGGAAAAUCACAACAAAAUUACAUCACAUGUUUUGUACUGUAUUUACUGUUAAGCACCGUUAGAUGAUUUCACCCUUGUUAGCUUUCUUCCUAGAUAAGGAACAUAGCCAACUCUUUGCUACAACACUUAGUAGAAGGCUGACAACACACACACACAGAGAGAGAGAGAGAGAGAGAGAGAGAGAGUUGGCGUAGAACAUGAGUUAGGGUCUUUGCAGACAUCACACUGUCUUGAAAAAAAGUGAAAUAAGAUGAUAUAACUUUAAACUGGCUGUGCCUUAGCAGGACCAUGAUGCAUUUUAGUUUGACGAUUAGGGAAAGACUGAACAUGUGCUCAGAGCUUGUCCUGUCUUCUAAUUUUCAUUUUAUCUCUUCAUUGUGCAUGCUUGAUUCUAAUUUGACGAUUAGGGAGAGAUGGAUCAUGUGCUCAGAGCUACCCUGUCUUUCAAUUUUCAUUUUAUCUUGUGCAUGUUUGAUCCUUCACAUGUUCCGUGUUUUCAGAAAAAUUAUGUGUGUUUUUAUCAGAAGUUCAGAACCAUUACAAACUGGAACAAUAGUUAUUUUUUACUUUUUAUGAUGCACAGCUUCACUUCUUGUUUAUACAUUGUAUGCUUAGUGACUACUGGUACUGCAAGUACAUAGCUCGAGGACUUCCUUGGCAAACUUCCUAACCUUUUGUGCUUUUUGUUACCAGCAAUUUAGCUGAUGCGAAGUCUACCAGUUUCCAGCCUCCACAAGUGCAGCAUGGUUGGGGUGGAGUGCCAGGACGCCCUUCUUUGGCUGAAAUAGUGAAGAUGGGCAGGCCUCAAGCUAAACCUGGGAGGCCGGUUGCAAAUAAUGCUGUUGGUGGUUCAGUCACUGCCAAUGCAUCAAAUUUGAACACAGUUUUGCCAUCAGAAGGGGAUCGUUUCACAGCUGAUAAUUUACCAAAUGGCACUAUUCAGGCUCCCUCUGUACCUAAGGAGGACUCUGUUGGCAUAUUACCUCUAGGACAGGGGUCUGAUGUGCCAGAAGGCAUUGGUGCUGCUUCUGCAAAUGUGAGUGCACCAAGAUCAUUUACCCUGGAGGUCAACGAUGACGUUCCUGGAGAUGCCAACACGUUUGAGCAAACUAAGGAGAUAAGUGCAAGCAAUGCCAGUGGCCUAACAUCUCCAGGACCAUUAUCCCCGUCUGAUAAGGGCACACCCUUGAAUGAUGACCUGAUAGAGAAAACAGAUCUCUUUGAUGAACAUUCAUUUGAACACAAUCAAAGUAAGUUAUGAAAGAUGUCAUUUACCUUUAUCUGUACUUUCAUUUGUGCGUAUGUGAAGAUCUGUUAUGCUAGAGCAUACCGGAGUUUAUAUUUCUGUAUGAUCCCGAGGUGUUUUUAUUUUCUGAUGCAUGUUAAUUGCCUUUUAUGAGCUCACCCACCGGGAAACAUGCAUGUCUUACCCUGAUUUCUGUGCUUUUUGCCUUGGGUCUCCGUGACUAUAGAUCUUAUGCAUCGUCCUGUUGUAUUUCAUGUUGCAUGCUCCCUCCUUGUCUCUCAUUGACCAGAAUUCCCUGUCUUUCUAGUCACUUUCUCUUUUGUAAAUUACAUAGAUCGGCUUUCUCAGUUUUAAUGAUUUCAUCCUUUAGAUGCAGAUUCAAAUGGUGAUAUGUCUACUACAGCGUAUCAGUUGGAACAUUUGACUAUACAUGAGGAAAACAGACCAAAACCAUCUGAUGAUAACCCAGCUGUAAUAAUCCCAGGCCACCUUCAGGUUUCCAAUGCCGAUUUUGCGCACUUGACAUUUGGUAGUUUUGUGUCUGGGACACUCGAUGCAUCAUGCUCCAUGAUGCCUGCCAAUAGUGACGUGGAGGUCACAUCAGUUCCUGAUAACCAGUCAGGGGACCAGUGUGAUGCCAGGUAUGAAUUUCUUCAUCAAAUUCGUUACGCCCCUUUCAUCAUGUGAAGUCCUUCAUUUUCAGAAUCUCCACCGUCUUCCAUUAUGUGACAUGUUUGAGUCCAUUUUUAGAAUCCACGAAUUUGAAAACAAGGAGACAGUAACUCCUGCUGCCAACGAGUACAUUGCUUCUGCACCAGAUAGUAAUGCGGAGAAUCCUGAUAUUACAUCAGUACAACAGUCUGAAGUGGGAAGAGCUGAUUUACUGGAUGUUACAAACAACACCGAAUACAAUUUAUCAUCUGACUAUGCCACGCCAACUGCAGUACAACCAGAGCCUACCGUGCAGACUUAUCUGCAGGACAAUCGUCAAAUGCAAAACAUUUCUCCUCUCUCUAACUUCAUGGUAUAUAUAUGCUCAUUUCUUAUCUUGGUUUGUUUAUAAGAACUUCCAUUGAUAUGUUGUUACUUUCCAUAUAUGUACAUGUAAACUGUAUUCAUUGUAUCUGCUAACCAGUGAUUCCAAAACACGGUUAAGAAAAGUCUUGCUCUGGCUUCAUUCUUCCUUCAUUGACAAACUUGUUUUAUCAUUGCAGCAAGGAAAUAUGGCAAAUGGCCUAUUGCCACCGGCAAUGCCACCUUUCCGUGAGUUGGAUCCAGCAUUCUCGCUGCUGCUUACUAACCCUCCAUUGGCUACACUGGUUCAUGGUACACCACAAUCGUCUGUGAACAAUGCAACUGUUUCCUCACAGCCACAAGAGGUAUUGACACUUCACUGAAUAAUGGACUAGACGACAACUCUUUUGAGAGUGGCCAUGUGCUACAAAUUCUAUAAUUCUGAUAAAAGGGUAAAAAUAUAUUUGUUUGCUGAGGAACUUGGGUUAGUUAUACAGUUUUACUUGCUGCACUCUAAAAUGUGAAGUUGCAGCCUGCUACAGGAUAACUCUUGCUUACUGCUCUUAGUGCAGCUAUGCUGCAUGUUAAUUGUUUACUAUGCCUAGAGUGGUAGUUAUCAAUUUUUUGGUCAUGUUUGGUCAAAUCCUGUUGUAGUUACAUCUGCCUCAUGCUUUAUUUUGUUCAGUUCCGUGUCUUGUGGCUAGGAACACUUCCAUUUGUGCCUAAUUCUGUGUGGGCAGUUUUUCCCCCCUCUAGAGAGCUGAAUUGUAGCUGUAUUAUUCAUUAGGACUUUAUUAUGCUGUUAUUUGUGUUAUUACUAAAAAAGCUGCAAUCUGCUGUUCUCUUGUUACUGCAGCACUAUUCUAAUAUGGUUUGUUGUUGUAGAAUGUUAAUCAAGGUGGUUUAUCCAACCCACAGUUGACCCACCCUCAGGGAAGCACUGGCAUUGCUCCAGGUCCUCCUCUGCCUCACCAUCUCGCCGCCCUUCAUCCUUAUGCUCAAGGAGGUCUUCCCCUUGGAUAUGCAAGCAUGAUAGGAUACCCAUCUUUGCCGCAAAGCUAUGCGUAUCUCCCGCCUGCUGCUUACCAGCAACCAUACAUAAACAGUGGUCUAUUCCACCAAGGCGCAGCUGCAGCUCCCAACUCGGGCGUGAAAUACCCAAUGCCACAAUACAAGAGCAAUGUUCCUCUUGGGAGCCUUCCACAGCCAGCCUCGAUGCUCUCCAACUACGUUGGAGGUUUUGGGACUGCAAAUGGCAUGCCUCAGAAUUUUGCCCUGAACCAAAGCAAUCCGUCGGCAACCACAGCUCCUGGAUUUGAUGGAACAAUGCCCUCCCAAUACAAGGAUGGAAAUCCUUACAUCUCUCUUCAGCAGGUAAGAGAUUCACACAAGAGUAGGGGAACUAGAUUUACAGUAGGAAAAUUGUAUGAUUGCUAACUUCCAUGCUUGUCUCUGCAGGGCGAGAACCCUGCAAUGUGGAUGCAUGGAGCUGGUUCGCGAGGAAUGCCGCCUCUUGCUGCCAACCCCUUGUAUGGCUAUCAAGGGCAGCAGCAGGGCUAUCAGGGGCAGCAGCAGGGCCAUCAAGGCGGCCUUCGGCAGGGGCAGAUGCCGUCACAGUACGGUGCAGCGCUCGGGCAGUCACAGCCAGGCCUAGGACCUGAACACCGAAACCCAAGCGACGGAAACUUGAGUGCCGCCGCUGCCGCCCAGGCUAACCAAAUGUGGCCGAAUGGCUACUGAUUCAGCCCCUCCUUGUCAGGUGUCCUGAAUAGAGAUAUAGAGUUGGUAGCUACUGUGAAAUUUUGGAAAGAGGCCCGUGAGAUGUGUUCCGGCAUGUUCAACCUGUAGUAUCUCCUAGGGGACCUCGGCUGUAGCUCAACUUGUUUAUUUUCAUCAGAUAGAAAAGAACGGUUUAUUGUCUGUCUGUCUGUUCUUCUUACUCUUUUUUUCUGUUGGUUUAUUACAUAUUGUGUGUAACAAUAAACCAGAAAAUGUCUAUCUAACAAAGCAGCACCAUUAACUUGUGAUGAGGAGGCGAAACAUGAGCUAUCUUUUUCUCUCAUCGCUUUUGUUUUCUUCUUCUCCAAGUAGGCAAAAAAAGUCUGAAUUUUUAUCCCUGCAGCUUACACUCCGAUACGUUUAGGAUUCUUUUUACAAGUGAAUGAAUUUUGUAGGAGUGUUAUGUUUUUGAAAGAUAUUUUGAAAUGCAAAUCUUGUCCAAGACUUUAGAAAGUCAACGCCAGGCCAAAGUUUAGUUGUGCAAUUCAUGUUCUGCCGGCCAGGCUAACUAGUUUAUGGAAAAUUUCUCACCAUUUUAAGCCGCUUAUCCCCUCUUUCCCGCUCGUUCUUCCACCUCGUCUCCUUCUAUCCUUGCCCAUCCUCAUCCCAUACCGAGGCCCGCUCCUUCUUUCACCUCGUCUCUUUCUAUCCUUGCCCAUCCUCGUCCCAUACCGAGGCAGCAAAGGUGAUGCUGGAUGCAUCCAUCAUGCUACGAGCAAUGGGCAUUGUCGCUGGCGACACCUGCUUCGGAGCAACACGGGGGAGGAACGAUGAGGUGCCGCAGGCGCCUGACGUCCCACGACGAUGAGAUCUCGACGCCGACGUCAUUGCCGCAUCCCCCGCUUCAUCUCAACGCCGGUGUUGCAAUGGAGCGUCGUUGGAGUUGCAACAAGCUUACCAGAGCCAUUGGUGCUGCAUCGAAGCUCCGUGGAGUUGCAAUGAAGCUUCGUUGGAGUUGUCGGUGUUGCGUUGGAGCCCCACCGGAGCUGCAAUGAAGCUUCGCCGAAGCAAUCGAUGUUGUGUUGGAGCCUCCGACGGGGCUGCAAUGGAGUUUCACCGGAUGCCCUCGGUGCUGCCAUGAAAGCUAUAACAAAGCGUGGCCGAAUGCCAUCCGUGUUGUUCUGAAGUUGUCGUAGGCUCGAUGCUGCUAUGGGGUUGUUACAAUUGGACGGUCAUCAUCGUGUAGAUCAGACGGAUACGAAGGUGGAUGAUUUCUCCAAGAAAUUAUCCGGUUGAUUUGUAACAGACGCCUUUGUUUAUAGCUCAACUUAUGUCCCCCCUCCGUUUUACAUUUUAAAUGUACUGAAGUCAUAUUUUUUUAGAUCUUAACACAUUUUUUUUUUUGUAAAAGUUGGUCAAAUGUUGACUUGUAACAAACUUAAAACUUCAAUAUUUUGAAACAGAGGGAGUAUGUUAUUUUUAGUUAGAAAAUGACAUGUCCUUUUUUUUCGAACACAAUACACACGCAAGCGUUUAUAUACACGCGCAUACACUCAUCCCUAUGAACACACACGCACACCUUACCCCUGUGAGCAUUUUCGAGAGGCUGAGCCGGCAUAUCAUCUUGAAAUUCAGAAAAAAUGCAAGCACCAGGACUUAAACCCUGGUGGACUGGAGAUACCAUUGUCCCUCUAACUAUCCAACCACAGAUUGGUUUGCAAUGACAUGUCCUUUUGUAUUAUUUUCUGUUGCAUCUCAUAUUAUAGUAGACCAGAGAUGUCUAAGGAAAGGUGUGAUUCUCAUUGGGUUUGAGUACAAAGAAAAGCUGGAUGCCCACAUCCAAUAUUCUCCACUCGAAGUUCAAAACCGUACGAUUUUGAACAUCUUUGCAACUUACACUCACAUGAUUCUUUGAUUUUUAUUUUUUCACUUUUUUACAUAGAAAACAAGUGAAUAAAUUUCGUUGGAGUGUACAUGUUUCAAAUUGGAUGAAAGUCCAUCCACCUUUCGGAAUUCUACGAAGAUUCUAUGAAUGUUCUGUAACAUAAAAAAUCAAAUAAAAUUGGAAAGUUAAUUAUUUAAACAUAAAUUCUAAUGAGUGCAGCUAUGCUAUCUCGUUGUUCCGAGCACAUCCACGUCACGACAAGUGCAAAGACAACUCACGUUACGAUAGGAUUUGACUCACAUUGGGAUAGCGCACCAGGAGGAAAUUCUGUCGGGACUUAGAUCCACAUGCAUUUAAUUAGCAUUUUUAAAAUUUUAAAAAGCUGUAACUUUUAAAUCGAGCAUCAAAAUUAAGAUCUGUUUUCACCCUUAAGUUAAUCACGGCGAGUUCUUCAAAACUAGAUCCCAUAUGGCUAUGUUUCAACUAAACUUUUUAGCCGAUCAACUUUGGAUGCUAUGAAUGCAACUUUAAUGCUAUAGGAAAGCAACUUUUUGUUAGUUUGCCUAGUAUGACUCUUUAUUAUUGAAAAUCUCUUCAAAGUUGGCUACCAUGACUAACAAGUGAACUAGCUUCACCUCUAAGUUUCCUACCAGAACUAGAAACUAUUCAACAAUAACUAGCUUCGCCUUCAAGUUGAUAGCAUUGUAGGCAACUUAGUUUCUAGCGAGUAGCUUCACAUCAUUGCAUGCAACACUUUCCGUUAUUGUAAGAAACUUAGUUUCAUAGAUAGGCAACUUACCAACAUCGAUGGGCAUAUUUUUUCAAUGUAUUGUAGGCUAGUAAUAUAGUAAUGGCAGUCAACUACCGGUAGGUAAUUUCAUAGUGUCUGUAGGCAACUUAGAAAAAUAAUGAUAUAAAACUUCACAAUAUUAGCAAGCAACUAAUUUGUAAAGUUAGGUAAAUGAGUAGCAAUAUUAGGCAACUAAUUACCAAUAACAGACAAUUGAGUAUCAAUGUUAGACAGUUUCAUAGUAUUUGUAGGCAACUGAUCAACUAUGAUAGGAGAUCGGGCAUCGAUGUUAGACAAUUUCAUAGUAUUUGUACGCAACUGAGCAUCACCCCUGGGCAACUCAUCAUCAAUAAUAGGCAAGUGGGUAUCAAAGUUGAGCAAUUUUAUAGUAUUUAUAGGCAAUUGAGCAUCAACCAUAGGCAACUGAUCAUCAUUGAUAGGCAACUUGGCAUCGAUGUUUGACAAUUUUAUAGUAUUUGUAGGCAAUUAAGCAUCAUCCAUACGCAGCUGAUCAUCAAUGACAUGCAACUAAGCGGCAACAAUAGGCAAGUUGAGAUAAUGUUGGCAAGAUUCGCAGGUACAGAUAGUGCAGUGAAGUUGAAUUUUAAAAAACUCGUUGUGAGAAACCUAAUCGUGAAAACGGAUUUCAAUUCCGAGAUGCAAAAGAUGUAGCUUUUUGAGAAACGGAAGAAAAAUACUUAAUUACGCUCGAGAAGAGAACCAUAUCACAACGCAGCUUUCCGUUGUGUGUUGUCUUAGUCGUGCUCGGGUUUGCUCCUUCCUUUUUUGGGAGAGCGCUCGCUCCUGCAAACCGGCGCCGAGACCCCAUUCUUUUUGUAAAAGCAUCCUUCCCUUUUCUUUUCACGCACCCCCAUCCAUUUCUUCCUUUGCGACCCUCCGUCGUUUUUCGUGGCCACGACUCAGGUGGCGGAAAGGGGUUAUGUUGCGGCCGCCGUAUUGGGGAUGUGCCCAGGAACACCAUGAUCAUGUUUUAACAAAUAUUUAUGUGUUUGUAUUGUGGUCCACUUCCCGACCGGUUGCGUGUGUGUAUAUAGGGUUCAGGGUCAUUCCUCGUUGACAACUACUCCCUCCGUCUCAUNNNNNNNNNNNNNNNNNNNNNNNNNNNNNNNNNNNNNNNNNNNNNNNNNNNNNNNNNNNNNNNNNNNNNNNNNNNNNNNNNNNNNNNNNNNNNNNNNNNNNNNNNNNNNNNNNNNNNNNNNNNNNNNNNNNNNNNNNNNNNNNNNNNNNNNNNNNNNNNNNNNNNNNNNNNNNNNNNNNNNNNNNNNNNNNNNNNNNNNNNNNNNNNNNNNNNNNNNNNNNNNNNNNNNNNNNNNNNNNNNNNNNNNNNNNNNNNNNNNNNNNNNNNNNNNNNNNNNNNNNNNNNNNNNNNNNNNNNNNNNNNNNNNNNNNNNNNNNNNNNNNNNNNNNNNNNNNNNNNNNNNNNNNNNNAUGAGACGGAGGGAGUAGCUAGCACACCGAGCGAGGAAUGUAGCGAGUGAUUCUUACUUAAGUAGCCGAGGCACAGGUGAUCAGCUACAUUCUUAGCUGGUUAGCUAGGUUGAUGCACAGUAGAUCGUCAAAAGAUAUAAUCGACGAUGCAUUUUGGCUAGCUAGCAUGGAAUGGAGGCAGUGCAGGUACGUGCGUGUCUAGUCACGCAUGCAUGGAUGUGUACGUAGGUGCAUGCACUAGUGGGUGCGUUUAUUUUUUUACUCUCUCCUCGUUUUUACCCCGUCUCCAAAGGCCGGGGAAAUUCCUGAUUUUUGAUUUUUUUUAAUUCUGUCUCAUUGAUCCUCCAUGCAUUUCAUCUUUGUCGGCCAAAUUUGAAAUGGUUAUAUUUUGCAUCAAAAGCUUGAUAUAUCAACCAAUUAAUAAAAAAAUCCGCCUUUUCCAUGACGAUAAAUUUGAAGCUAUGCCAAUAUUGUACUCCCUCCGUUCCUAAAUAUAAGACCUUUUAGAGAUUACACUAUGAACUACAUACGGAUGUAUGUCACUAGUGGAGAAAGGGGUAUUAGAACCGGUUGGUAAGGGUCUUUGGACCCGGAUACACAUCCGGUGCUACGUAUCCGGGACUAAAGCCCCCCCCCUUUAGCACCGGUCUCUUACAAACCGGUGCUAAAGGCCUCCACGUGGGCGCCGAAGAGUGCGCGCAGGCGGAGGACCUUUAGAACCGGUUGGUAACACCAACCGGUCCUAAUGCUUUUUUUUCUUCUUUUUUUUCCUUUUCUUUUCAGGGUUUCCGAUUCCGUAUUUCGGUGUUUUCGUGUUCCGUAUUUUCAGGGUUUCCGUUUACGUGUUUCCGGUUCCGUAUUUCCGUUUACGUGUUUCCGAUUCCGUGUUUCCGAUUCCGUGUGUCCGUGUUCCGUUUUUUACGAACACGGAAUCGGAAACACGUAAUCGGAAACACGUAUCCGGAAACACCGAUUCCGUGUUUGCGGUUAAGUGUUUCUGAUUCCGUGUUUGCGGUUAAGUGUUUCUGAUUCCGUGUUUGCGGUUAAAUGUUGAUGCACCAAAUAAAAGUACAUAUAUACAUGUAACACGAAGUACUGGACCGAUUAUCAUUACAUAAUUUGAAGUUCGUUUCCUAUAGCUGUAUACUUGCAUAGAGAAGGGAGCUGGCUAUUGGUUCAUAGGAUGGAAAAAUUCUCCGCCUUCAUCUAUGACUUGCGUGAGGAGAAAUCCUGCCAAUUCCUCUGCAACUGCCUUGCAACGUUGGAUUAGUCUGAGCAUCGCCCGCUUUCGUUGCAGCUUUAAAAGAAGUAGAUGAAAACAAUUAAGUUAUGAGCAAAACUAAACAUAAUUGAUGACAACGUAAAUAAAGUUCUGAAGAUCCGGUUACGUACCUCUAGAUUUCUGGAAGUACGGGAUUUCUCAUUGAUAAUCCUGUGAAUGUACUCGCAAACGUAGUAUCCACAAUAAUCAGUGCCCUGUGGUUGUUGCGGGACGCCCUAUAUACGAGAACAUAAUUCAGUCAAAUUAACAAUAAUCAAGAGAAUGGUAAUGGUAUUGAAACCAGGGUACGUAGUACUACUUACUUUGUUAAUCUGAAAGUGGAGCUUGUCUGCCCAUGUACCGGGUUCUUCCUUGAUGAACAUUUGCCAAACCCUGGCCGACAAAGAAAAAUGAAUAGAAGAGUUAAUUAUUACUUACUUGAUAUCAGGAAAUGAACAAAAAAGAGGCCGAUGAACGAAAGAGGCCGAUAUAUAUAUACCUUUGAAGCAUCUGACGCGCGCUCUUCCAUGUGUCAGCGUCCCAGGUUAACGGGUCCCAGACUUCAACUUGUCCUUGAUCGAUUCUAAUGAUGAACAAUAUGAAGUGGGACCUGUGCACGUGUACACACGCAGUCAUGCAUACUCAUCAAUUACACUUAACAUCAGGUAAGCAAAAUGGAAUGUGUACAAGACAGUAACACUCACUUGAAUCCGUAGGGCCAAAGUAUUUCUUUUUUUGGUACUUUGUCGCUUCAAAAACCUUAGCAAAUCAUCCGGUGUAUCCUUGUUGAACUUUUCUAUUGUCUCUUGAUGAAACGAAUACGGGUCAAUGAACCCAAAGUCCCAGAUUCCUGCCAGCCUGCAUUCACGAAUCUUCAUUCUGCAUAGUAGCGUACAAAAAGAAUGUCUCGUGAGUGAUAAUUAUACGGGCAAUGAACGCGAGCUUAACUAAAUAAUUAAAUUACACAAAUAAAUCACUUACAAACAGUAGCAGCUGACGAUAGCUUUGUCGAGGGCACGUUGAUUGUACAUCUGGAAAAAAUCAUCGAACCCAACCUCCACACCGUACUCUCCGAAGUAGUGUUGAUCCUGAACUGCCACCAUGAUACAGUCUCUCUUUUGCCUUGCGGCCUCCAAGUACCAAACAUGUAAAUUCCAUAGUUGGGUUGUUAGAGCACUUGGAUUUUCGACCAGAGGGUGCUCGGGCUUAUAUUUAUAUACCACAUCAGCAAUAGCGUAACCUACGUCGCCCAUGCGUGGACCGGACACUGAAGCCUGGUCAGAUAACACCUUGAGCGGGGCAAUUGACUGUGCUUCUUGUUGUCCGAGCUGGGGAACUUGUUUCCCGCAUUUCGUCUGCUCCGCCUGCUUCAUCUGUGCGGUGUGCAUCUUUUCAAUGUACCGUUCAUAGUCUGAAAGGGGCGGCGGUGGCGGCGGUUCAGGAUAAUAUAAGUUGUCGAUGGUGCGCUCAAUUUUCCACUUUGGUACGUUCUUCAGAGUUUCCUUCCAGAUGUCUGGAGGGGGCUUCAGGGGAAACCGUGCGAACCAUGCUUUGUUUUUGGCUUUCACGGCCUCGUCUAGUUCCUCCGGAGUCAUCAGGCCUGGUAACUUCGGGGGAGUCUUGACUUUAUUGGGUUUCCUUUCUCUCUUCUUGGGAGGAGUCCCGUUUCUUCUGAACUGCAGCUUCCGCUUUGCCGUACCCGUAGUGGGCGCAUCCGUCGGCUCACUGGAGUGCACGGGCGAUGGACUCUCGGCCUCGGGCUCCCUAUCUUCGUUGUGGGGUGGACUUGGAGGUGCGUUGGGGGGGUGGACUUGGAGGUCAUGCAUUCUCUGUACGAAAGUGAAAAAACUAUUAAAAAUAGGCUUACAUGUGGUGCAACAUUCAGUAAUUGUUGGAGGUGGUGCAUUUGUACCUGGAGGAGUCGGUGGCCUUGGUGCCGCGUUAGGAAACACGAUGUGUUUCUUCUUCCACAAGAUGAUACCAAGCUCCAUUUCUCCCAGUGUCUUCUCGCCUUCACCUCCAGGAAUAUCAAGCUCAAUUGACUGGCAUCCCGGCGUAACUGUUGACAACCCGACACGAGCAUGGGAUGCUGGAAUCUGACCACCAUGGUAGGUUGCUCCAGGUUGAUUCGGUAAAGCAUAGCCUGACGCCACCAUGAAGGAUAUGUUCCCCAUUGGCAUAUGUAUCUCACAGUUUGUCUUCUCCGUGACAUCAUCCACGGGGUAGUGAGGCGCCGACGGUUCGACUGCAGGACCGUCUUCUAGCUGCAGCUGCGUGGAACCCACGCUGCUUCUAUGCUGAGAUGGGACGGCAUCUGCUACAGGAUCGUCUUCUAAUUGCUGCUGAUCAGCGUCAGGUGCAGGAUCUUCUUCCUCCUCUACAGGGUGUCCCCCUUUCUUCAAGAGAAACGCCACCUUUUCUUCUAAUGUCGAUAUCCGUUCCAGCGCCUUCCUCUUGCUUCUACCACGGCUUCUGUAAGUGCCAAGGUCCGCCGGAAACCCUUAGUUUCACGAGGUAGUGGCUCCAAAGCCUCACCCAUUCCCGCGAGCCGAUCGCCGUGCUGAUCAUGUGGUUCUUGGGGAUCCAUAGCUCAACACCUGCUAGUAACAAGAAUUUAACUUAGCAAAAUUAUUUACGGAAACGUUUUACGGAACCGGAAAGUUUACGAAAAAGUUUUACGGAAUCGUCGGAGUCGUAAUCGUCGGAAAGUUUUACGGAAUCGUCGGAAAGUUUUACGGAAUCGUCGGAAACUUUCCCCAGCAAAACUAGUGAGAGGUCGGGGGGACAUGACGAAAGGGUCCCUUGGCCAACACAGUUAUAUUGUGUGACACAGAUUUCUUCACCGCAGUUCUGGCACAAAUGCUCGGGUGUUUUUUUUAGAAACGUCACCUCAUUUAUACAAUCAUAGGACUUUACGAUGUCCAUCGAUAAAACGGUAAGAAUAAAGUCUAAGGGUAAAAAUAGGAACUACAACAAUAUGGAUAUACAACAAUAUGAUAAGGCUCUAAAAUAGGAUAUACAACAAUAUGAAUAUAUGAUAUACAACAAUAUGGAUAUACGAAAAUAGGAUAUAUGAUACAACAAUAUGGAUAUAUGAUAUAUGAAAAAAUAUGGUACAACAAUAUGAUAUACAACAAUAUGGAUAUACAAAAAUAGGAUAUACGAAAAUAUGAACUACAACAAUAUGGAUAUACCGUGGGAGAAGAAGAUGAAGUGGGGCGGCGAGGAGGCGUCGCGAGGAGGCUGCGAGGAGGCGGCGAGGAGGCCGCGCGAGGAGGCGGCGACGAGGCGACGAGGAGGCGGCGACGAGGCGACGGCGGGCGGCGAGGAGGCGGCGUGGGGCGGCGAGGAGGCGGCGAGGAGGUCGAGUCGGCGAGGAGAGAAGGCGAGGAGAGAGGCGGCGAGGAGAGAAGACGCGCGGGAAGGCGAAAAGUUGGCGGCCCGGAGAGGUCUAGGAGCCUUUAGCACCGGUUGGUGUUGACAACCGGUCCUAAAGACCCUUUAGCACCGGUUGUUAACACAAACCGGUACUAAAGGUCCAAAAAUUGUUGUUGUUAAAAACCUUUUUUCCUAACCCUAACCCACCUUUAGGGCCGGUUGUUGUUAAAAACCGGUCCUAAAGGUUUUUUUUCUUUUUCCUUUUUUCCUUUUUUCCGGUUUCUGUUUCCUGUUUUCUUUUUCUUUUUAUUUCCUUUUUCUUUUUCCUGUUUCUUCUUUUAUUUUUUUUUUGUUUUCCUUUUCUGUUUUCUUUUACAUUUAUUUAUAAAAUCAAAGUAGACUCAAAAAGCUUUUGUAAAAUUAAAUAUUUAUAAAAACAUAUUUAUAUUUUCUGAUAUUUUGUGUAAAAAUUGUCUAAAUGUCAUUUAAAAAAAUAAAAAAAAUAAAAAAUAAGAUAUUUAUCAAACUAAUUUGAAAAUAUAAAGAUAUUUUUUUGUUUCCUUUUUCUUUUUCCUGUUUCUUCUUUUAUUUUUCUUUUUUUUCCCUUUUCUGUUUUCUUUUACAUUUAUUUAUAAAAUCAAAGUAGACUCAAAAAGCUUUUGUAAAAUCAAAUAUUUAUAAAAACAUAUUUAUAUUUUCUGAUAUUUUGUAUAAAAAUUGUCUAAAUGUGAUUUAAAACAAUAAAAAAAUAAAAAAUAAGAUAUUUAUCAAACUAAUUCAAAAAUAUAAAGAUAUUUUUUUGUUUCCUUUUUCUUUUUCCUGUUUCUUCUUUUAUUUUUCUUUUACAUUUAUUUACAAAUUGUCUAAAUGUCAUUUUAACACUUAAAAAAUAAAAAUGAUAUUUAUCAAAAUGAUCAAAUUUAGUGGAAACUGGUCAAAUUUUUGAUAUUUAUCAAAAUGGUCAACACAAUUACAUAAAAGGUUUAAUACAUUAUUACACAUCACCAACAACACCCCCUAUCUAUUUUUCUUCUUGCCUUACUUCUGAUUGCGCCGUAACCAUGAGUAUCUUCAUCAUUUAACGGGAUGCUUGGAUCAUCUUUGACUUUGAAGGGAGGAAUUUCAUCAAAUUUAUUGUAAUCUUCUGACAUGUCUGUCUUGUCCUCGACUCCCACGACGUUUCUUUCCCUGAAAGAACUAUGUGGCGCCUUGGCUCAUCGUCUGAUGUAUUCGCUUCCUUAUCUUUUAUUUUUCUCGGUCUGCUAGACAUGUCCUUCACAUAGAAAACUUGAGCCACAUCAUUGGCUAGGACGAAUUGAUCAUUGCCGUACCUAAGAUUCUUCUGAUCCACUGUUGUCAUUCCGUACUUCGGGUCUACCUUCACGCCUGACAGGUUGAACCAUUUGCACCAGAACAAAAGGGACCUUAAAGGAAGGUCCGUAGUCAAGUUCCCAUAUCUGCUCUAUGUAACCAUAGUAUGUGACCCUUUGCCCGUUGUCGUCUUUUGCAUCAAACCGGACUCCACUGUUUUGGUUGGUGCUCUUUUUAUCUUGGUCUGCCGUGUAAAAUGUGUUACCAUUUAUCUCGUACCCUUUAAAGGUCAAUACAGUCGAAGAUGGUUGCUUGGCCAACAAGUAUAGCUCAUCUUCAACAAUGUUGUCAUUAAUGAGACGUCUUUGCAACCAACCGCCGAAAGUCUUCGCGUGUUCUUUAGCAAUGAAAUCUUCAGGUUGCUCCGGGUAUUCCGAGCAUAAAAUAUCCUUGUGUUCCUGGAUAUAUGGAGCCGCCAAGCUGGAAUUAACUAAAACUGUGUAGUGUGCUUGAGUGAAAGAUUGCUCGUCCAUACAUGUUCUUGAUUUCUUUCCUAGCGUGCCUUUUCCACGCAGUCUCCCCUCAUGGCGCGACUGAGGAAUACCGAUCGGGUUCAGGUCAGGAAUAAAGUCAACACAAAACUCAAUGACCUCCUCUGUUCCAUAGCCCUUGACCAUGCUUCCUUCUGGCCUAGCACGGUUUUUAACAUAAUUCUUCAAGACUCCCGUGAACCUCUCAAAGGGGAACAUAUUGUGUAAGAAUACAGGACCGAGAACGGAAAUCUCUUGGACUAGGUGAACUAUGAGGUGCGACAUAAUAUUGAAGAAGGUUGGUGGGAACACCAACUCGAAGCUGACAAGACAUUGGACCACGUCCUUCUGUAAACUUGGUAGAGUUGCUGGAUCGAUUGCCUUCUGAGAAAUUGCGUUGAGGAUGCACAUAGCUUCACAAUGGGUACUCGCACGUUUUCUGACAGAAGCCCCCUCAAUGCAAUCGGAAGUAACUGGGUCAUGAUCACGUGGCAGUCAUGAGACUUUAGGUUUUGGAACUUUUUCUCUUCCAGGUUUAGUAUUCCUUUUAUGUUCGACGAGUAGCCAGACGGGACCUUGAUACUGCUCAGGACUUGGAAAAAGAUCUCCUUCUCUUCCUUGGUAAGAGCGUAGCUGGCAGGACCUUUGAAAUUCUCUGGAUUCAUCAGGUCGUCUCGUUCGUGCAUACGUUGGUGGUGUAGCCGUGCUUUUGGUGUAUCUCUCGACUUCUUCCCAUGCACGCCCAAUAAGUUUAGCAGGUUCACGCAAAUAUUUUUGUCACGUGCAUCACGUCGAUCGCAGAGAGAACCUCUAGGAAUUUCCAAUAGGGUAGUUCCCAGAAUAUAGAUUUCUUCUUUCACAUGGCUACGUGGUUGUCGGCGUCAUUCGGAACAGAUUGUGCGCCAGGACCCUUACCAAAGAUUACUUUUAUAUCUUUGACCAUGUCAUAUAUAUCAGUACCUUUAGGGAGGGUUGGCUUCCUCCGUGUAUCUGCCUCGCCUUUGAAAUGCUUUCCUUUCUUUCUUACGGGAUGCCUGUCUGGAAGAAAUCGACGAUGCCCCGGGUACACAUUCUUGCCUAUAUGUAUACUUCCAGUCUCGCCUAAACAGUGUGUGCAUGCGCUGUAUCCCUUGUUUGACUGUCCUGAGAUGUUACUAAGAGCGGGUCAAUCAUUGAUGGUUACAAACAGCAACCCUCGUAGGUCAAAUUCCUCCUGUUUGUACUCGUCCCACACACGUACACCUUCGUCAGCCCACAACUCUAAAAGUUCAUCAACCAGUGGCCUCAGGUACACAUCAAUGUUGUUGCCGGGUUGCGACAGGCCUGGGAUAAGCACUGGCAUCAUAAUGAACUUACGCUUCAUGCAUAACCAAGGAGGAAGGUUAUAGAUACAUAGAGUCACGGGCCAGGUGCUAUGACUGCUACUCUGCUCCCCAAACGGAUUCAGGCCAUCUGUACUUAGACCAAACCUUAAGUUUCUUGGGUCACGUGCAAAGUCCUCGUACUUAUCGUCGAUGUUUCUCCACUGCGACCCAUCAGCGGGUUGUCUCAGCAUAUCGUCUUCCUUACGGUCUUCUUUGUGCCAUCGCAGCAACUUGGCAUGCUCUUUGUUUCGGAACAAACGUUUCAACCGUGGUAUUAUAGGAGCAUGCCACAUCAUCUUGGCAGGAACCCUCUUCCUGGGACGAUCGUCACCCUCAACAUCACCAGGGUCAUCUCGCCUGAUCUUAUACCAAAAUGCACCGCAUACCGGGCAGGCAUUUAAAUUCUCGUGCUGACCGCGGUAGAUGAUGCAGUCAUUGAUGCAUGCAUGUAUCUUAUGCACUUCCAAUCCUAGAGGGCAGCCAACCUUCUUUGCUUCGUACGUACUGCAGGGCAGCACGUUAUCUCUUGGAAGCAUCUUCUUCAUUAUUUUCAGCAGCUUUUCAAAUCCCUUGUCAGAUGUUCCAUUCUCUGCCUUCCAUUGCAGCAAUUCCAGGGUGGUGCCCGGCUUUUUCUGGCCAUCUUCGCAAUUUGGGUACAACAAUUUUUUGUGAUCUUCUAACAUGCGCUCCAACUUCAACCUCUCGUUUUCACUUCCGCAGUUUAUCUGUUCUUCACGAAUGACCUGACGAAGAUCAUCAUCAGACUCAUCAACAAUGUCCUUAUGUUCAGGCUCGUCUUCCCCCAUUUCAGUAUCACCGUGUUCACUGAACAUAGGAUAGUUAUCAUUAUCAUCUUCUUCUUCAUUGUCUUCCAUUACAACCCCUCUUUGUCCGUGCUUGGUCCAACCAAAAUAACUGGGCAUGAAGCCUUCUUGCAACAGGUGGGUGUGUAUGGUUCUUGAGUUAGGGAAAUUCCUCUUAUUUUGACAUUUUUUACAUGGACAAAAAAUAAAUCCAUUCUGCCUGUUUUUCUCAGCCACAUUGAGAAAAGUAUGCAUGCCAUUAAGGAAUUCGGGACGACGUCGAUCACUGUACAUCCAUUGCCGGUUCAUCUGCAUUAUAUAAAUUUAUCAAAAACCAUUAUGCUAAAUCAUCAUGACUAAAUUAAUUAAUUAAUACAAAAAGUUCAUCACACGUUAAAACCAAAGUAGCGACCAUACAUAUAUAGUUCUCAUAAAAAUACACACUGAAACCAAUCAUAAAAACUCUCUCUAAUUAAUGCAUUUAAAAACAACAACAAAUGCGAUCAAAAUCGCAACAAAGGUAACAAUUGACCCGACGGCAUAAUGAUACCAAGCCUCUUUACUAAUUGCAUAUUUUCUAAUCUUUCUAAUCUUCAGGCGCAUUGCGUCCAUCUCGCUCUUGUGACCAUCGACGACACCGGCAAGAACCUUUUCCAAGGUCAUCUUCUCUCUUUCAGUUUUUUCCAACCUUUCUUCAGUUUUUUUCAAUCUUUCUUUCAGGCCAACAUUUCCUUGUUCAACUAAGUGUAACUUCUCAACAAUAGGGUCGAUUGGCAUUUCCGGUUCCACUACCUCCUAGAUAAAAAUAUCUAUGUCAAGUUGGUCGGCGUAAUUAAUUGUCAUAUAAUCAGGAAAUGAAAAUAUGUAGUUAUAAAAGAUAAUAUACCACAUCCGAAUCAUAGACUGGACAAGGGCCAACGGGGACGGAUAUCAAAACCAUGGCGCUAUAUAUAUAAAAAAAAUCUUACACAAUAAGAAAAUUAUAUACAAGUAAAUAUGUAAAUCAUACAAAUCAAAAUUUGUUUUGGUAAAUAAAAACAAUAGGCUCACCAAGGUUGUGUCGGUGACGGGGCGAUCGACGGCGGUGAGGAAGGGGACAAGGCGCGCGACACUAAAAAAACCAUAAAUCAUAAUUAAAUUUGAGCUCAAAUUGCAUAUGUAUACAUAACAAAUGAUGAACUCUCUCUAGCUUAGGCAUUUCAUCAAACACCUAGCUAGCACAACAAAAAUGAAAUGAGCAAGAAAACGAGCAAAACUUGCAAUGCCGGAAGAGGGAAUGUUGAUGCUAACCGUAGGACCGAUGGGUGCCAACAAUCUUGACAAAUGGUGGAGAAAAAUGGGGAUGUAUUAGAGCUCCCAAGAGGAAGGAGAGAGCAAAAAUGGAGUUGAGCUCGAGCUGGAAAAAAUGGAACUGAGCUUGGAGUGGAAUAUAGGGGAGGGCUUUAGGACCGGUUUGUGUUAAAAACUGAUGCUAAAGGGUCUGACAGCGGGGCCCCGCAGUUGCUGCAAAAAUAAGAAAAACUUUAGCACCGGUUUCUGAUACAAACCGGUUCUAAAGGGUCGGUCCACUGGCCCCCCCUCCCUGCAGCAAACGGUCCAAAACCCUUUAGGACCGGUUUGUGUCCUAAAGGCCUUGCGGCCAUUUGCUGCAGGGAGGGGGCCCAGCGGACAGACUCUUUAGAACCGGUUUAUAUCCAAUCCGGGUCCAAUGUGGUUGGCUCAAUGCCCUGUUUUCUACUAGUGUGUAGUCAUAUUUUAAAAUGUAGAUUCACUUAUUUUGCUCCGUAUAUAGUCUAUAGUGAAAUCUUUAAAAUGUCUUAUAUUUAGGAACGGAGAGAGUACAUAUUUGGACGAAAACCCCUCGUACGAGAUGUUGGUCUAGCUCCUCUGCCGCCGCCUCCUGUCCGAUCCUCUAUCAUGCAAGUCGAGGUAUCAGCAGGGCCAUGGGAUGGGUUGCAGCAGUGCCAUAGGAUGGUUUGCAGCGGUACGAGAGAAUUGCGGACACUGGGAAUUAAAGGAGAGAAAACUAGAGGUUUUGGCGAGGGUGUGCGUGUGUAUGUAUGGACCGGGAUUAUUGCUCGUUGAAUACUUGCUAGCUUGCCGAGCGAGGAAUGUAGCUCGGGGCCGGGGCCGUUGCUCGUUGAUGAAAUUAUGGAUUGUUAAUGGUAACUUUAUCGCUCGAAAUUGAGCACCCGUUGAGGCCGUGUAGUAACGGGCGCGUGUUACUACAUCCAUCCGUGUUGGAAAAGGAAAGAGGCGACGACCGAGGGGCGAGGGCCGCAUGGAUUAUGACACAUGUAUGUGAUGUGCUCGUGGGUGGUAGGAAUGGAUUGUAAAACGGAAACAUUUAUAAAUGGUGUGUAGGCCAAACCGUUUGGCUAGACGCCUCGGCACCCAUCGCUGCUUGCGGGCCAUGUGGCCAUUCGUCGGGUCCAUAACGGUGAUUUUUGCUGUAGCCGUACUUGUUUUUUUUCGCUACUACGGGUCAAGUGUUUUGUUACAUCCAUCAAGCAAAAACUGCAACCUUAUGAUGAUGACGAUUUUGCUGCAACCGUAAUUGGUUUUCGCUAGUACCAGCGAUUUUUUUUGCUACAUCCAUCAAGUCAUAGCUGCGACCUCACGACGGCGAUUUGUUGCAACCGUAAUUGAUUUUUUCUACUACCAUCGAACUUUUUUUGCUAGAACCAGAAAAAAAACAGAGGAGCUGCAAACAAUACCUAAAAAUGUUGCAACAGGUUUGCAAGAUUGUUGCAAUGCUGUUUUUAAAAGCUACAACCAGAGAAACGGCAUGCACAACCAGCCACAGCCAAAGGCAAUGAUGUUUUUUGCUGCAACCCGUUAUAGACUUUUGCUACAAUCGGUGACAUAAAAUAUUACAACCAAGCGGCCACGCUAUGACCAGCAAGGUCGUUUUACUGGAGCGUGUGAGAUCGAUUUUGCUAUAACCGAAGCAUUUUUUGUUGCAAACAUUGCCGACAUUUUCUACUACCGAUCGGAAUUGUUGCGACGACGAAGGCCCAAUCAAUACGCUAAUCAAGACCCUUUACGCGCUAGGUAGCCGACCGACGGAAAGUUUCGGCCAAAGAACGCAGAUUAGUCCCCAUUGUAAAAUGGGCGGAGCCAAACCAGCAACAGCCACGGGUCGCCUUAGAGCACUAUCCUGGAUUUGGACCUCACAUGCUGGGUAGUUGCUACAAUCCGCAAAGGAGUUGGGUCUCACGCCCGGGCCUAGGCCCAGGCCUGGGGUUUAGGUCCUGUCUUCGCUUCUGGAUUGUAACACAAUUCUCCAAUGCACCAGUUGACUGUGUGGUUUACCUUUUCUCUUAGCCCGUCAUCAUCUAGUGCUGAUGCUAGAUAGAGAGGAGAAAAAGAAAGAAAUCAUAUUGCAGCGAUGCCGGCAGUGCAGUUGUAUGCAUGCAUGUGUUUGUACUCCCUCCAGAUGGGAAUGUAAGUUGGGCACGAGUAAUUGGUCAUUGACUAUAACUAAUGAAACACGUAUUUCCUUCGUAAAUUAAUAUAAAAAUAUUUAACUUAUUACUUUAAUAUUUUAAACUUUCUUAUAUUAUUUUAUACAGAAAGUAUAAUAUAUCAUAAAAAACAUAUAUCUUUAUAAAGUUUAUUCGACAAUAAAUCUAAAGAGAUAUUAUUUACACGGAAAGCCUUCAUAGCUUGAUAUUUCCGUGAUAACGCCCACACGUGUGGUGCGAAUAACAUCUGUCCACACGUCUAUAAUACACAGACCGCGUCACGUCACCAUAUGCAUGCAUGUAGGGAUCUUUUUUGAUUUCCAGUUUUUAAAAUGUUUUAUCUCUGAAAUAAAAAAUUCGAUUGAAGAUCCGUUUUAUCACCAUUAAAUUCAUCACGACGAGAUCUUCGAAACUAGAUCUCAUAUCAAUAUGUUUCGACGACUUUUUUUGGUUAAAAGUUGCCAUGUCUAUUACACAUGAAUUAUCGUGGUGUUUACACUGAAGUUGUUACGAUAUGUUUCAGGCAUUUUUUCUUCUACCUUUAAAAGUAAAUUUUGAUGGAUUACUAAAAAUUUUCCAUGAUCCAUGCAUUAAAUUUGCCGUGGUUAAUUACUAAAAAUUAUCAUGGUCAAUUAAUAAAAAAUGCCGUAAAAAGUAGUUGAAAAUAUAAUGGUAGCAUUAAAUCUAAAAGAAAAAUAUAGAUAGAACAUGUCAUGGCAACUUUAGUGUAAACACUAUGGCAACUACAGUGCAAACAUCAUGUCAAAUUUUGGCCAAUUUUUUUCAUCAAAACAUAUGAACAUGGUAUCUAGUUUUGAAGAUCUCGUCGAGACGGAUUUAAUGAUAAAAAUAAAUUUUUAAUUGGAUUUUUUAAUUAGGAGAUAGAACAUUUUUAAGCCAAAAAUAAAAAAAGAUGCUUGUUGAUGUCAUCUAUUUUGACGUGACAAAAUGAAUGAUAAUGGAGGCGUUUGGGCGAGUUGCAAAACGCCCACAUGUGUGAAUGUUAUCUUUUUCGUUUCUUUUCAGCACUGUACACAUAUGCUCAUACAUGCGGCCCUCAAGUGGUGUUUAAAAUUGUGUGUGUGUGUGUGUGUGUGUUUCUCUUCAUGGUAAAUUAAAUGGUGCAGGAGUUGGAUUCCUUAAUUCUCGUCCUGAUGACAAUUAGCACAAUUAGCAAAUCUUAUAGAUCAAUUCAAAUAUGGCAUCAAAAUAUUGCGGAAAGAGUUACACAAAUUGGAUCUUAAACAAUGCACAACCUAAUGAGCUACAUUGGUGCGGAAAAGGAAGCUAAAAGUCAUAUAAAUUUACACAGAAAGCCUUCACAACAUGAUCUUAUUUCUUUCCAAUAAUAACAUAUUAAGAAACGUAGACGACACAACACGCACACACACAUGCACUCACCAUGUAAACACACACACACACACACACAAGAAACCGAGAGACUGAGCCGACGCAUCGAUCUAAAGAUUAACGGAAUCAUCGCAAGACACCUUGUAGCAUCAUCAGGUGAUACAAAGCAUAAUGAAGUCACUAUCGGCCCGUGCAUAAUAAGUAAGAUAAUAGAUACACACGAUCGACGACUUGAUCUCAUGAGUGAACGUGCACGGCUUGGUCUUGAUCUUGUUGGAUCAUUGAACGUGCACACCUUGGAGUUGGAAGCUGUAGUAGUCAUCAGUCAUGGCCAGAUCGAUCUUGUAAAGAAAACCUGGCGUGAUUCUCAGGGUCUCAGCUUGUAUUUGGAUAUAUCGACACAAGGCCAGGAGUAUCCAAAUGUCCGACCCCCGACAAUAUGCCAUUGUAUCCUUUCAUAUGGUGGGCAAAAGCCGGGCCCCUCAUGAGCGCGAGGAAGGCACGGAGGAGCGCCGCCGGGCCGGCUUCUCUGACGCCGGAAAGCGGAGGCUCCUCCCCCUCCAACGUGCGCCACUCGGCAAGAAUCCGAAGGUCGUACAACUGGGGGAAGAAGGAGCGGGAAUUCCAUACGAAGUUGUUGCGGUCGGAUACCACGCGGACGACAUUAGUUUUGAAAAAACAGUCGAGCAGGUGGCAAAUGUCCUCGGCGCCGUCGCAGGUGACCCAUGUGACGGCUGGGUUGUGGACGGCCUGACAGGCCCACAGAGCUUGGCCUAUGUGGUCGCGGUGGAUGCGGCGGCGGAUUGGAGGCUCGACGCCCAGCUCGACCAAGAACCGGUCGUCCGCGGCGAGCAGCGGUCCGAUGUUGAACCGCCAGACGCGGCCCAGGGCGACGUCGCCGUCGCGGUUGAGGAGCGCUAGCGCGAGCUGGAAGAAGCGCGCGUCCCUGACCCUGGUGUGGAGGCCGUAGCACCUGUAGUUCAGGUCGCGCGGCAGCCCCACGACGUGGUAGACGCCGUCCCGGAAGAGGAGAUGGCCGGCGCCGCGGACAGGCCGGGGCGGGAGGUCCUUGUACGUGGCCACCACCGCGAUCGGGAAGUCUCGGAAGAGCUGCGAGAUGCGAGCCAGCUCCGCCUCCUCGUUGUCGGCCCAGACGUCCACGACCCGGGCGUUGGCGGCGGAGGUAUGCACCGGCGGCGACAUAUCCCUGCUAUGCUAUGUCAGGGGAAACACCACCGGCGGCGAUGAGAUUUUAUAGCAAACUCACCACCGCUGGGCAGAUCCUCUUGGAAUCGGAACGGAAGAGGUUCCAUGUUGCAUCCGAGUUCUCAAGGAAUACGGAUCGAUCGGAGAGAUCGCGGGGACAGUUACCGUACCGAUCGAGGUCCAAGGCCCAUAAUCCCCGUAAAAUCGGAGAGAUCGCGCGCGCACUCGUAUAACUGGGCCAAGCCAGAGCAGGUCCAACCUUCUGUUCCCAGGCUGUUUAGAAAUUAAAGCACAUCUAGAUGAAAUGAAAUAAAUAAAACAUAGAGCCAAGAAAAUAAUCACUUUUGCCAAGUGCCUCUUUGUAAACUGCCUUUACACUGGAUAUGCAAAUCCUUUAAAAAAAAUCAAAAGCACGCCAAUGACAUAACAUAUUUUUAUAAAAGUCAUAUGAUAAUUACAAGAAGCCUACCCAAACGCGAACAAAAGGGCAAACCAAAUACCCAUAAGAAAAGGGCAAACCAAGUACACACUGUUAAGGAUUAAUUAUAAUCCUAAUAAUUCAGGCUUAACAACAGCCUUUGUGGCGUCCUUUGUAAAGGUCGCGUGUGUUUAACGGGUCCCCUCACUUUAUAUAUAUAGCCUUGUAUGUCAUCAAUAAAGAGAUACUGUUCAUUUUAAUCGCUUCUCUUUCUCGUUUACACUAACACGUUAUCAGCACGCUCUCCUUCGUCUGAGCGACUCGAAGAAGCGAUGGCAACUCCACGUUCGUCAUUGACGAAGCCGAUGGCCAACCCGUGAUGAAUGGCCAUGGCAGGAAACACGAGAGAGAUUAGGCCAUCCCGACGGUCAAGGAUGCCGCUCUCGUCGCUGAUGACCACACGCAGGCGACGCGCCGAAGGAGCCCAGGUGCCGGCGCUCGAUCACGGCGUCCUCCAAAGCAUGGUUUGGUCUCGCCCUCUCCUUCCCUUCUCACAGACGUAGAUAGCAAAGUCCGCAUAAGCGGAAGUCUCCGGCAUGGCCGACCGUGGCGCAUCAGCGACCCGGGCCUGCUAUGCGAGGCAUGGUGGUGUGGCAAGGACCUACAGACCGGAGGCUCGACGUUGAUGGAGGGGCACAGCCGGCCUCGACCUCGCGGCGCGCGGACCACGGCGCCCUCCCCAUCACGGCUCGCGACGGAGCCCACAGCGGUUCCUCGACGACGACGCACCCGCGACGGAGGUGAGGCAGUGCCCGAUGCGGCUCCCGGCAUCCGGUGUGGAGUGCUUGCGGUCGUGGUCCUGCCCACGGCGAAGAUGGUGCGGGCUCUUCCUUCGGCUGACUUGUCCAAGCCCGAGCCCCGUACGAGGCGUCCUCCGACGUGGCUUCCUAUGGAAUCGACGGAGGCGGCGCUAACGCAGCAAGGCGUGUGGUGCGGCCAGCCCCUCCCGGACAGCAGCCAGCGGAGGCAACCCCGAUGGCACACGACGGGAGCGCACCAUGGCGGCAUCGUACGGCACACUGCAGCCUCACUCCUCCCGGCAUCCCGGAGGAUCGACCACAGGCAUCGACGGCGCGAGGCAAACCAACACCAUCUUGGCGUGGCCGCAACGGCGCCCUCCGGCGAUCUCACACGACGCGGUUUUUCUUGGCCCCGAAAAUGGCAGCAACCCUCCAGCGUGGUCCUCCUAGGUGACGUUGUUAUAACCGCUGGCUGGAAAUGCCAUCAGGCGCGGCGGCAGCACUCGGCGCCCUCGAGCACGGCCCUCGGCCGACGACGCGGUGUCUAGCCUACGCGGAAGCAGCAUAUGAGGCGCAAGGCGAGGAGAAGGCAACGUCGCAGGGCUAGCGCACGACUUGAACGCGACACGACCGGCGACGAGGCACCGUUCCUAACCGAGCGCGGCUGUGACGGGAAUAUCCCAUUAGCAACCGCACGGGAGAAAAAGAUUGGGGAAUCUUAUCCUUUGGCAAAUUUUCCACUUCAGCCCUUGUAAUUUUAUUAAUUCGUGGAUUUGUGCAUGCUAUUAUUUUGUGUGCCCUCAGGCUUAUGAGUCGCCCCCAGUAUUACAUGCAAAUGCCGCAUAAGUCAAGCAAAUUUAACUUUAGCCCUUUGGCUAAAUUAAUUAUACAAACAAGCCAUCAGGCCAUUUGAACACUAAAGUCAUCAUAUUUGUGUACGUAUGCAUAUUUUGCAGUACAUGUACUACUAUAGUAAUGCUAUUGCAGAAGGAAGAAUUGCUUUGCAUACAUUUCGGACNNNNNNNNNNNNNNNNNNNNNNNNNNNNNNNNNNNNNNNNNNNNNNNNNNNNNNNNNNNNNNNNNNNNNNNNNNNNNNNNNNNNNNNNNNNNNNNNNNNNNNNNNNNNNNNNNNNNNNNNNNNNNNNNNNNNNNNNNNNNNNNNNNNNNNNNNNNNNNNNNNNNNNNNNNNNNNNNNNNNNNNNNNNNNNNNNNNNNNNNNNNNNNNNNNNNNNNNNNNNNNNNNNNNNNNNNNNNNNNNNNNNNNNNNNNNNNNNNNNNNNNNNNNNNNNNNNNNNNNNNNNNNNNNNNAUUCAUCAUUACUGUGAGGUCUACAUCUUGUUAAUUUUACAAGAUGAUUACCUUCAAAGUGCUCUUCCUAAUAUUAAUAUUAGAUGUGACUGCCUUAGAAUAUCAUAAGGUUAUAUUGACAUCUACUGUAAUUUUUUACAGACUGUCCACUAUUACUGCAAGGUCUACAUCAUGUCAUUCUGACAUAUGACUACCUUCAAAGUGAUUUUCUUAAAUAUAGCACAACAUAAGGUAAUAGAUAUAUGAACAUCUACUGAUAAAAGUCAGACUAUGUUUUCUAUUACUGCGAGAUCUACACCAUAUUGGUGAUUAUCUUCAAAGUGUUAUCCUAUAAAAACUGAGGUCUACACAUAUGGCUAUAUGGCAUCAGUCGUACUAAAAUUUGCUCCUCCGAAGCAAUUGUUGUUGUUCACUAAAAUGAUUUACUAUGAUAGUAAAUUCAUGCAUGAUUAUUACAUGUUGAUGGUACUAUCUACCAAUAUCAAUUAUUCAAGCCUCAUUUUGUUUGAAUAUGUCAUAGAGAAUUAUGCAAAUAUUUGCAUACUCCAAUGAUUACCUUUUACUACAUUGAUAAAAUACAUGGCAAUGGAGCUUAUGUCACUAUUUCUAAUUAAACUGUCGUCCAUCUAUCAAGAUGGACCCCAUAAUUUAUGGAAAUAAUUGAGUGGAUCAACACUUUCACAAGGUCCACAUCACAUCAUGGUUAUACUUUCAUAGUGACUAACCAAAUUUAAGCAUGCAAGUCUAUACGUUUUGGCAGUGACUCUAAAGUCACAUACUUCCUCAAGAAUGAAGUCCAAAACAUUAGCAAUAAUUUCAUCACAUCACAUGUGUUGUACUAAAGGAUAUACCCAGGUUCACCAAGGAUCACCUUGGCCAUGAUUGUUCUCAAACAAAUCAUUUAUUCAUAGAUGACACUUACUACUAGAAGUAAAUUAAAUAAAUGCAUAAGCACUUUCAAGUAAGCAUGGUUGACAUUUCCAAAUACAGUAAGUACAUGUUAGGUGAUAUUAUUUAUUGUAAGAUGAUUCAUGACAUCAGUCAUUAUAUCCACAUGCGGCAUUUGUGGCCACUAUAACUCCACCUUCGAAAUAUAUGUCAUGACUAUUCUCUUAAUAGCUAAAUAUGUUUAUAUGUAUUUCGUUUGUCACCAACUUCACUUAGUUCUCAAACUAAGUACAUAAUGGACGAAUAUUUAUUCAUCUUGAAUAUUUCCUUUAAGAGAAACAUGCUGCCAUGCGCACAUCGCGAAUAAUCACCCGUUCGUUUCUCAAGACCUCAAGUCUAUCGCAGGUCACAUUUUUGUCACUCAAUCAACUUUAAGUUGAGAUCUCAUGAUUAAAUAUUUUCAUCCGCAUAUCCAGUUGAAAAGCCCUCAAUACACUUUACAUAUUCUUAUGAUAGUCCUACCAUUUUCAUGAUGAAGAAACAUGGAAUUUCAUAAAAUCAUCAGAUUCACCCAACGGGUGCUAUUCCAUUAUUUGAAAUUCUUGCUAGCAUUGUGAAUAAUAAUCAAGUCAUUAGUAACAAAAUAGAACCAUGAUGUAUUCAAAGUAAAGUGGAGGCUAAAAUGCAACCAAAGAUGGAAUUAUUUCUUAAAUAGGGAAUAUAUCGUUUUCGAACGAUCAACGACAACUCUCAAGUUUGUCAAAUGUGUGGUUAUUUAAACAUCGCACCUAUGAUUACCAAACCCUCAAACAUAUGAUCAAACCACACCACAAAUUUAUUAAAAAGACAAAUAAGUCAUUACGAUAAAUUUGAAAAACUGCAAACUUAUAACUGGAAACUAUUCUCGUAAAUGAUUGUUCUCAAAUCUUCGUGAGAAGGAGAACCAAAAAUCUAGUGCAAGAAAAGGUUGGUAAAUUCCUUUGCACCCAAGAUAUGUUUGCAUAUAUAUAAUAAAAAAACACUAAUAUUGGAGACCUCAUGUAAUCUCCUGAUUAUUCCAAAAAUAUCAUUAGCGUAUACUUGUAUUAUUACAUGUAGAGUGAUGUCCAAUAUCCUAUUUUUCGGGCAUUGAUAUUUGAUAAUUUUUGGAUGUAUGAAUCAAUUCAUACUCAAUAUUGUUGCGUACACAAUGAUUUUCUAAGUAUUAAUAAAUUAAAUAUUAAGUUUAAUAUCCUUAGCCAUCCUCGUUUGGGGAUGAUUAGAAAAUUAUUGACAAUUCUAUUGGUCACAACUUAACAAGUUGCAAAUUUUUUCAAAUCAUCAGAUUUUAUGUGCACCACAUGUGCCAUAGGGGAAAUUAAUUGAAGGAACUCUCACCUUACAAUGCUAAAUGAGCCAACUCAUUCUUCCUUGAACACAUUGAGAAGAUAUGUGGAUUACUCAACCAUUAUAUGAUAUAUAUUAUAUAGAUACUUCAUGGUACUCAUGGAAACAUUUAUAAAAUGAUUUCUAGUGUGUCUCUUAUCACACAAACCAUGAAUGAUAUAACUACAUUAAUUGCUCAAAUUCUCAAAGUAAGAGCAAGUUAUCCUAAACAAGGGAUAAAUCCAUUCGAAUGGACAACUUCGUUGGACUCAUUUCACAAGCAAUGUCUGAUUAUACAUAAUACAUUAUGUAAUACACAUAAUGGUUUAGUUCAAUAUCUUAUCAAAUAUAAUAAUAUGACCAAACUUAUAGAAUUGUAAUUUACUAGCCUCAUGCUAGACAAAUACGACAUUACACACCGUAAGUAUGAUAUAAAUCAUACCAACUGCAUAGCAUACUACUUUCUCCUUGUAGUAAUUACGUGGAAAUCAACAAAGUAUUUCCUAUCUGCUAUAAUUCGGUUACAUACCAAUAUCACCACUCCAGCAUACAUCAAUGGGCUCUCACAAAAAAAAUAGGGAUCUAUGUGAGGAAUAAAAAUUUAUCCGUCAAUCAAAAUUAUUCAUAGCCCGUAUGCUGAUUGCAUCAGCAAUACGGACAUUUCCGGCAUUAGGGGGAGAUAAGUACCACAAAGAAUGCCAAGAAAUAAAUUAGAAAUAUUAUUAACAUUGGGUCCUUAUAUCCACGUACUCAGAGGAUCUAAACUAAAAGUUUAGAAUCACAUAUUUGCAACUCAUUGCAAAUCUGCCACAUACGUUUACUGAUGACAAAUGUGUCACUCGAUUUUAUAUUCGUGCAGUAAAGUGUCAGAAAGAGUGGAGGUACAUAAACCACUCUUCUCCCAAAAUGAGAGCAAUAGGGGGAGAAAUCUGACCACACGAGAUAUAAUCUCGCAUAUGCUUCCGCGGAAAUAGAGGAAAUCAAAUCCUCAACUAGUAAAUGUAAUUCAAUAUCAAGUUGAAAGACACCUCACUGGAUGCUCAUCAUCCAAAGCCCGACAUAAAUGUGCACAGAUGUUUUGGUGUCGGGACAUCGAAACACAUUGAUUCCAUUGUUGUAGGAAAUCACAAGGAGUUAAAAGGAAUAAAUACAUUUCCACGAAUUUCAUUGAUUCCUCCAAAAUCAUAUAACAUAAGUCUACAUUUGUCGACGUAUAUUUCUUCUCAAAAAUGCUAAAACCUUUUGGGCCCUCAACCAAAAUCCAUGGAAGAGUGCCUUUGUACUCAUAUUGGUUCACGUAAAAGGAAGCAAGUAAUAAAGAAUAGCACUCGCUCUGCAAACGAGUGGUAUUUACCACAGUAAUAUUUUUGCAUACAUUUCGGACNNNNNNNNNNNNNNNNNNNNNNNNNNNNNNNNNNNNNNNNNNNNNNNNNNNNNNNNNNNNNNNNNNNNNAUUCAUCAUUACUGUGAGAUCUACAUCUUGUUAAUUUUACAAGAUGAUUAACUUCAAAGUGCUCUUCCUAAAAUUAAUAUUAGAUGUGACUGCCUUAGAAUAUCAUAAGGUAAUAUUGACAUCUACUGUAAUUUUUUACAGACUGUCCACUAUAUCAUAAGGUAAUAUCAUAAGGUAAUUCUGAAUUUCAAUAAUUUUUUUUAGAAAACAUACAAUAAUAAUCCGAUCCAUCCAACAGUUAAUUUUUCAAAAUUCACACAGUUAUAUUGUCACAAAGACUUAGAAUCAUUAAUGUUUAACUACAUACAUUACAUAUUUCGUGAACAACUUUACAAAUAUGGGAACAAUUUUAAUAUCGAGAACAUUUUUUACAAUUUACAAACAUUUACUAAAAAUCGUGAAUAUUUUUUAUAUUUCGAACAGUAUAAAUAUUUUCUUUUGAAUUGGCGACCAAUUCAAGAAAAGGCGAACAUACUUUUUUAUGUUGGAGGAUUUUAUUUUAAAUUCACAAACAUUUUUUGAAACGCAUGAAGUUUUUCUAAAUAAACAAACAUUUUUAUAAAUUAGUAAUAUAUUUAUUAAAUUCAUGGACAUUGUUAUAAAUCAGUAAUAUAUUUAUUUAAUUCAUGGACAUUAUGUUUUCGUCAACAUUUUAUUUCAAUAAUCCUAUUUUUAAUAUGCAAAAUUUUAUUUAAUUCUAGAUUAUCUAAAUUAGAAAUAAACAAAAAUGGAAUGGAAAAUUUUAAAUAAAAAAUAAAAACUAUCAAAACAGGCAUUAGCUAUUUUUAAAAUUUUAGGACAUUUCUUAAAUGCAUUAACAUAUUGUCAAUUAGAAAGCAUUUUGUUAAAUGCCUUUAAUAUUUUUGAAUACAUGGAAUUGUAUUAGAAAUCAUGGAGUUCUCUUAUUGUACAAAUAUUUUUCUAAAAUUGCAACAUUUUAUUGUAUAUGCGAGCAUUUUAUACAAAACUCCGAGCAGUUUAUGAAGUCACAAACAUUUUAUUUUUUAAAUAUGUUGAUUUAUAAUUUUCAGUUUAUUAAAAUUUAGAAAUUAUUUAAAAUAUAAAAAUAAAACGAAACUGAAAAUAAAUAAAUAAACGGAACUAAAAGCAGGCGCCUUUGCAUGGGCCGGCCCAUACGGUGUGCUGGAUAUUCUCCGCGUAAUAUAAGAGGUUUUUACAUGGGCCGGCCCAGUUCAAGAUUUUUUGCUUUGUCAAACGUUUUCUAUUACUUACCGGUGGCAUGGUGGGUAAUUCAUGCAAACUUUAAGGUUAAUUUCCAUGACGGACGACCAGAAACACUAUUUGCUUUAUUAUUAGAGAGAGAUUAGGGAGAGAUGGUUGGACGGACGACAACUUAGAAAUUAAGUUCGCAUGCAUCGAUCAUAUAGAUCACAUGAAGGCUUUUUUAUUACAUGGUUGGACGGACCGUAUUGCCCGACGUAGGUUUGUUCGGUCCGCGUUAGUGAAGGAGCCCAGAUUAAUUAAUGGAAUGGCCCUCCGACCCAAUUCGAGCUAAUAAUUAAUCUUAUUAUCUCAUGGACUCACCUACUAACGAUAAAACCACUGCAGCGCCUCUAGAUGAAUUUGACAUCUCUGUUGUGGGUUAUAGAGGCAUGUUGUACGAAGUAAUCAGUCUCUUGAACGUUUACCAUCAUACUUCCUCCAUUUCUAAAUAUAUAAGUCUUCCUAGAGAUUUUACCAGGCAGAGACAAUGUUAUCUAGCAGCUGAGCAAGCUAACAGAGAGAAUGUAGACUGCCUAACACAGUGAAGUGGCGUCAGCACUGGCAGCGGCGCCCGUCCUCUUGGCGGGCACGGGGGCGAUCGAGCUGUCGGUGGUGGCGCAUGGACAUCUCAGAUAUACUAGUAGGCGGACCGCGCCCGUGGGACAGACCCUGGAUAGCUUUGGUGCGCUGGGGUGUCCAUGUAAGUGCCUGUCGGUGGUGGUGUCCUUCUCGUUUGUUUGCUUUAGUCAUGUAAAAGUGUAUCAAAGGUUGCAUCGCAUAUAUACUUCUAUCCAGAUCCGGUGAAUCUUCUAUUGAGUCAUGUAACCCCAAAUUGUAUCCAUAAUGCACUUCUCGUUUGUUUGCUUUAGUCAUGUAAAAGUGUAUCAAAGGUUGCAUCGCAUAUAUACUUCUAUCCAGAUCUGGUGAAUCUUCUAUUGAGUCAUGUAACCCCAAAUUGUAUCCAUAAUGCACUCAGUCUUGAUUAUCCUUGAUCAAUAAAAGGUCAAUAUUUUCUCAAAAAAAUGCAGCUUAUCCUGUUGCUGUUAUGAGUGUUGGAACAUGAAAGCACAGUGUAUGGUAAGUCAUACAUAGUUGUGACUAUUGAAGAAAAGGUAGCGAUGUGCAUUGUAUGGAUAGAUGGUACAUGGUUGCCGUGCGACAUGGUCAUUGAAGAAAUCUAGAUGGCCUUCUCCUUCCAUGUGACAUAUCCACCGCGCCUAGCUCCCACGGUGCCUUUCGCUCUCAUGCUCACCAUAGCUUACCUUGAAUGCAUCUUCGUCAGUCUUGCUAUCUCCAACAUAGAUAAGAAGAAUGCCAUCAUCAUCGCGUAGUUGCGGUGAUUGAAGCAAAAAAUAAUCCACAACUUCCCUCCUCAAUGGUAGGUUGUUCAAGAUCUUGAAGCCAAGAAUGUGGCUGAAUAAAACAAUGUUGUAAUUAACAAACAUAUUUUGUAUAAAGCAUGGUAGUACUGCUGUUCUGAAGGUGAAUGUUAUACAUUAAAAAAAUUCUGCCAUGGAAAAGGGGGUGCAGUUUUUUUGUUGAAGAAAUGAGUCGAGUUGAACAAAUUAUUAUAAGCAGAUCUACAACAAUGGAAUAAUACAGUAUAGGGCUUGUACAGUUUGAACCAAAGAGGCGCUACAAUAUUAAUCAUUUUCCCUAAAAAAGAUAUACACUAUCUUCUUUGCAAUUCGAUGGUGACCUACUUGCUCAGUACACCUCCUGUAACUCUUAGUUGUCACAAAUAGCACACAUGAGCAAUGGAAUUAGAGAUGCACUAUCAAUCAAAAUCAAGCCUAGUUCUUUGUCAUUAAAGGGUACUCACCUGAUACUCUAAGGUACAUCGUUUUGUUUGAUAUGCUUAUCCUGUGGUGCUCUGCAUGAGAAUUGGAAUUAGAUAUGCAUUUUUUGCUCAUUGGAACAAACUUUUCUGCCACCUGAAAUAAGCGUAGAGAAAGUACCACUAAUAAAUCUAUCACGGUCUCUCAUGAGAAAGUCUGUAUCACAUAUUUGAAAGGGGUGACAUCAGUAAAUUAGUUAAUUAUAAUUAAAAUACCAUGAGGGAUGUUCGAAUUUCAGAAGAAACGUGAUGUAUUGACUGAAAUAUUAUGAUGCAUGCUGAGUUUGCACUCACUUCAACGAAACCAAUGGCACCCUGGUCACUUGAAGGAAAACAAUGGUAGACUACCAGUCAGAAUUUACACAAUACUUACAUUGUACUAUUGCCUAAACACUUCCUGGAAUCAAUAUCAAUUGCUAGAAUCUAUAGGAAAACAUUCAUGAUUCUGAAAGUUUAAACACCCUUUGUUUUCAGCAGAGUCGACAAUAAUUAUUAAUAAUAUUGACAUCCUUUUUAUGAUAAUUUCAUACAUCUGCACAUACUGAUUAUGCUCAUCAAGCAUUUUAGUAAGAGCCAAGACACACAUAAUUGGUGCCUUCUUGGUCAAAAAUAUUUAGUCUACGAUCUAAUUCGUCACCAGAGUCAACAAUAUAUAACUGAGAAAACUUAGGAGAUUCAUUAUCCAAAGGGCAUAAGAGAACUGGUUGUGGUAAACAGAGACACCCAUCUUAUUAAGAUAAGGCUCAUCUUCCAUAUUUACGGUUUCAUCAACAUGGUAACCAAGCGAAGUGAAGCAAAACAUAGCGUUAUAAUGCUUAAUCAGUCAUAGAAAUUCUACUGAUGCAGCACCACCAUUGAAACACAGUAAGUCUUUCACUGGAAAAGGUCAAUCAGGAAACACUCGUAAGGAAACCUUUCCAGCACGGCAAUAACUAUUGUACAUUGGUAAAAAAUAUUUUCUACUACGGGCACCCUUUGUACGCUCAUGAAGCCAAUAUAAUUCAUUGCAACAACCACAAACAUAUUGAGGACCACCAUAGUAAGAAAUCAGUAGGAAAACCAAUUAAAAUGCAUCCCUGGCAAAAGAGAAAGAAAGACCUCACUACCAACACUUGCGGCCUAGAGACAUGAUAUUGAUGCUUAUUAUCUCUUUUUACCCAGUUCUGGAAUAACAGAUCUCAGAAGCUUAAUUCACAUGUCCCUCCUAGUUUUCACUGGAGCUAAGAAGCUGAUUAGCAGAAUUUUGGACCUGCAACUGUAAGUGUCAUACAACUUUUGAAUAUAGUUUUUGAAUGAAAUCACUAAAAAAUAAUCCUUUGAAAAGAGAGUCUUACUUAUGAGCAGUACUAUAUUGAAAGACCAUUAGUCCUUAAUUUGACUUUCUCAGUACGGGAAAAGAGUUAUAAAAUCCCAACUCAUCUAUCCUGUUUUUGUUGUUGAAUGUUGAACAACGUAGCACGAUUCCUUAGAUACUGAGGAUCCUUAGAUCAAAAACACUGUUGAGCAUGCCAUGUCCGGCAUCCGAACCUUGAUCUUCACAUCCUCCACCCAUCCUUUAGUGAAAAUCAUCACCAUGAUCUCUGAAGGAAGGUAGCAACAACAAAUAGAAGAAACCAAAUCUAUCGAUUAGCCAAUUUGUGUGCACAGGAUGAUGACAGUAUGAACUGUUUGAAUUCAGAUUAGACAUGUACCUUGUGUGUCAGGUGAAGGAGAUGCCCCGUACGUAGCUUGCUUAUGGUAGUGGUGCCCCGCCUUCUUGGAGAAGCCGCCGGUGGGCAUGGUGGCUGCCACAAAGAACGCCCCCAUCGAAGAGAAUAAAGGAAGAGAGUCGUCGCCGGCACGACAGAGGCCCUGACGUGCACCUCGUCCAGGUGUGGCGCGCGUGAGGAUUUGGUUGCCGCUAGAGCCUCAUCGGGAGGCGGAGUGCGGGAGGGGUGGGAGCGUAGGGUUUGUGGAUGGGCACCUUCCGUGGCCCAGCGAAAGCGGAGGAGGGAAGAUGGAGGAGGGGAAGGGAACACGACGGCGACAUGGGAGGUCGUCGCCUCGUCGGCCAGACGCGGCAGCGGAGCUGGACACCCCGCUCCACUUUAUCUCUGCUCUGUCCUUCUCUCUCGUUCUCUCCAGAAUACAGUAGUAAAGAAGAAGAAGCGGUGGCGCCUUGAGAGGAGAGAUAUGAUUGAACGUGAUCCGGUCAAAGCGGUGGACCGCUAGCUAGCUAGGCCGAUUGAUCUGGUAACCAUUAGUAUUGUAGGGAGAAAAAAAUCCGUUGGUAGACAAAAGAAAACCCAAUGCACGUGGCAAUCACCGAAUCAUCGACUCCUACCACUGGGAUUGCACGACGUGAGCGAUAGCUUAGUAGCUCCACCACGUGUCGAGAGGAAAAGGGCCCUCACGCACGACGUGCGAGCUAGCUUAGUAGCUUUAAUAUAGUGUAUGUAUUUUCGUUAAAGUUCGGAGGCAUCAAGCACUAAUUUGCGCUAUUCACCUCGACCAGAGUAAAUUGCUAAAAACUAUCACAAUUCGCGCAACCGUGUCCAGUAGCUAUCAUAAUACGAUUUUGUGCGAAAAACUAUCAAAAUUUUCCUAAUCAGCGACAAAAAACUACCAAAAGUUUUAACUGCCCGAUUUAGCUCUUUUAACCGUUUUUCUAGCACGGCUGGCCCACAUGUCAGGUGCCAGCAUGGCCCCGCGCAUUUCAUCGAACAGCUUCAGCGUCACCUUCUGCGCCGUGACGGUGGUCACCUCCUUAGCCUUCUGCGUCGCCUGCGCGCCGCUCGAUAGCGUCACGUCUUUGGUUUUCACCGCCGCCUGCUGUAUGUACUCGGCCGUCGUCUUGCCGGCCGCCAGCGCGGCGUCCUUAGCUUUCUCUGCAGCCGUCUUGUCGUACUCCGCGGCCGUCCCGCCGGUGGAGACAGUCAUGUCCUUGCCCUUCAUCGUAGCCUGCUGCGUGUACUCGGUCGUCGUCUUGCCGGCCGCCAGCGCGGCGUCCUUAGCUUUCUCUGCAGCCGUCUUGGCGUACUCCGCGGCCGUCCCGCCGGUGGAGACAGUCACGUCCUUGCCCUUCAUCGCAGCCUGCUGCGUGUACUCGGCCGUCGUCUUGUCGGCCGCCAGAGCCGCCUCCCUCGCCUUCUCGCCGACCGCCUUGGCGUACUCCGCGGCCAUCCCGCCGGUGCUCACCGUGACCUCCUUCGCCUUUGCUGCGGCCUGUUUGGCGUACUCAGCGGCGGUAGCCGUGGCCUCUUGCGUCCCUUCCGCUCCUUGUGGCCCGUGCCAUGCCCACGGCCCUCCUCCUGCUUUGUGGGUGCUGCUUCUCGGCGUCCCGACACGAUGCCACCGUGCCCCUGCCGACGCGUUGGUGCCGCGCACGGCACUCUCUUUGCCCUGCUUGUCGUCGGCCGCGCGCGUGCCCGCCGCCGAGCCCUUGUGCUCCUUGUGGCCCGUGCCAUGCCCACGGCCCUCCUCCAGCGUCGUGCCGUGCUGCAACUCGGUGCCCCGAGACGACGCCGUGGUGCCGCCCGCCAGCGCGUUGGCGCCGUAGCCGUUCGACGCGGCCGACGCGCGGCCCUGGUAGGCGCCCUCGGGAAUGGCCUUGUGCUCCUGGUAGGAGACCACCGUGGCGUCGGGCGCCUGGGUGACGGUCACCGCCCCCCUGGCGCCACCGCCGCCGCCGUGCUGCAGGUUCUGGUUGUACCGCUCCUGGACGCCAUGGCGUCCGCCGAGUGCUGCUGCGCCUCCGCGCGGAACUUGCCGAUCUCCUCCAGGCCGACGCCGCCUUGGCCUUCCUCCCUUUUCGAGGCGGCGUCCUUCCGGCUCUGUUGCUGCGACGCCAUUUUCAGUGGCUUCUUGAGUGGCAGGCUCAGUCGACCGACAGUGUUCUCAGAAAGCUGGUGCGUGGAGCUUGGACUGGAUGUGGUCAGUGGCUUGGAUCGCCUGUUCGUUGGUGGAACGCGGUGACACCCGCUUAUAAUGCUGCCGCUGAGCGGCCGGUGGAGGUCGACGCGGCGUACGGAGCCUGACACAUGCGAAUCGGAGAGGACGUCGGGGACUGCGAAAAGCGGCGGGGUUUCAUCGGGCACGGAGGAACUAAGCGGCGAGAGGACACAAGUUGUUCGAUGAAAUGCGCGGGGCCAUGUUGGCACCUGGCAUGUGGGCCAGCCUUGCCAUAAAAACGGUUAAAAGAGCUAAAUCGGUCAGUUAAAACUUCUGAUAGUUUUUUGCCACUGAUUAAGAAGAUUUUGGUAGUUUUCGCACAAAAUCGUAUUGUGAUAGCUACUGGACACGGUUGCGCGAAUUGUAGUAGUUUUUGGCAAUUUACUCAGAUAACUGUUAAGAUUGUGGUCAACUCAAAUGGAAGCACAACUAUGUAAUGAGCCUGGUUCAAAGAAGAUAAGCAAUUUUAGAUUAUUUGACUGAACAGGCUAUGCAAGAAUAAUCUGUAAUUAGAAGACAAAAAGUUAACUCGUCAUCCUUAUUUCUCAGACUUGGUGUAAUCGUAAAAAAACAACAUAUGAACUUCUUUGGCAUGAUGUAAAUAUAGCCAGUCUCCUGUGCAGAAUACAUGCAGUGAGUAACCAUUUGGGUAGGUUGUGACGGAUAUGCUUUUAAGAAUGUUCUGUCAAAUAGGAGUCCUUCAAGUUAAUGGAACUGUCAUAAGAUUUAAAACACAUAUAUGCCUCAUAAAGCACAUUCAGUUUAUCAGAUCCAAGGGAAAGAGAUACCCAGAGCUAAAGAUGCAACUACAUUUAAUAUCUCGCAAGCAAAAUUAGGAAGUUUGUCUCUCAAGUCUCAAUACAUACAAAGCAUCUUCUUCGUCGAUGACAUGGAGGCAGUUAACUCGUCAUUCUUGUUUCUCUGACUUGGUGUAAUUGUCAAAAAAAAAAGGAUGAAUAAAAAUCCAUAGGGCAUGGGGAUACNAUUGAUUGGCCAUCACAGCAUCACAAAAAUAAAUUUGCCACGGAGAUUUUGCCUAUUCUGCAAAUUUUGUUGCUAAGGAGCGGCAUCUCUCAUUCAUUCGCCAUCACAGCGUUACAAAAAAUAAAUUUGUCACAUACUCCUUCCGUUUCUAAAUAUAAGUCUUUUAAGAGAUUCCACUNNNNNNNNNNNNNNNNNNNNNNNNNNNNNNNNNNNNNNNNNNNNNNNNNNNNNNNNNNNNNNNNNNNNNNNNNNNNNNNNNNNNNNNNNNNNNNNNNNNNNNNNNNNNNNNNNNNNNNNNNNNNNNNNNNNNNNNNNNNNNNNNNNNNNNNNNNNNNNNNNNNNNNNNNNNNNNNNNNNNNNNNNNNNNNNNNNNNNNNNNNNNNNNNNNNNNNNNNNNNNNNNNNNNNNNNNNNNNNNNNNNNNNNNNNNNNNNNNNNNNNNNNNNNNNNNNNNNNNNNNNNNNNNNNNNNNNNNNNNNNNNNNNNNNNNNNNNNNNNNNNNNNNNNNNNNNNNNNNNNNNNNNNNNNNNNNNNNNNNNNNNNNNNNNNNNNNNNNNNNNNNNNNNNNNNNNNNNNNNNNNNNNNNNNNNNNNNNNNNNNNNGUUGCUAAGGAGCCGCAUUUGGCAUUCAUUCGCCAUCAGAGCGUCAUAAAAAUAAAUUUGUCACGUAUUCCUUUCGUUUUUGAAUAUAAGUCUUUUAAGAGAUUCCACUAUAAAACUAUUUACAUAUGUAUAUACACAUAUUUUAGAGUUUAGAUUCACUCAUUUUACUUCCUAUAUAGCCCCUAAGUGAAAUUUCUAAAAAGACUUAUAUUUAUGAACGGAGGGAGUAUAUUCUUAAUGGCUUCAAAAAAAAAUUGUCACCUAAUCGUCAUUGCGGGGCAAACAAUAAAAUUCAUCACCUAUUCUACAAACGUCUCGGCUAAGGAGGUCCAUUCGCCACCAUUGCGGGGCAAAACAAAAUUGUCACCUAUUCUCAAAGGCAUCAAGAAGAAAAAAAUAAUUCUAAAAUGCAUCAGUAAGGAAAAUACCCCUAAAGAGUACGCGUCUCAAAUCAAACAUAAAAGGUAGGCAUGCCUACAUAAAUGCCAACUAGAAAUUUAUAUUAGCCUAAAGCGAGGUCACCCAAGCAACGUCCCAUCAUAAUAAACAGAGCUCAAAAGAGAAUGGAUUUUAGGGUUGUUUUCUUUUAUUUCCCCAAACGUUGUUGUUCGUUCAUGAAAACAGAGCUUAGUUAGUUUCAACGCUGCAAAGGUUGGCUACAGAUUUCUUUCUUUCUUUGUUUGUAUCUGAACGAAAUUUAUAACUAUAUUAUGUGACACAGAGUUUGGAAUUUGCCAUGAUGAACAAGAACUUAUUACCGGAAAACCAAUUGUCAUCUAUUCUCAAACUUUCUAGGCUAAUGAUGAGCAUCUGUCAUCCAUUCACCAUCAUUGCGAGGCAAAGACAUUUUAUCACAUAUUCUAAAAAGGACUCAAGAAGAAAGACAAAUUAUCACCUUUCUCAAAGACAUCAAUGGGAAAAAAUCCCCCAAAGAGCAGGCCCCGAAUCAAACGUAAAAGAUGGGCUUGGCUACAUAAGUGUCAGCUAAAGGCUAAUUAGCCUAACGCAAGGUCACCUAAACAAAGUCCCAUCAUACAAAACAGGGCUAACUUUUUUAGUUUUCUACUUCCCCAAACGUUGUUGCACGUUCACGAAAACAAAGCUUAAUUAGUUUCAACGUCGCAAAGGUCUGUUGAAAAUUUCCCAAAGAGUACGCGUCCAUAUCAAAUCUAAAAGAUGGGUUUGGCUACAUAAAUAUUAGAGCAUCUCUAGCUAAACCCCUUAUAACGCGGAACUGAAAACGAACAAUCUCCUUAAGCUUAAAUUAUUAAAUCAAAUAUUUGCUUAUAUUUUUUCCCACAUCUUCUUCUUCUGAUCCAUAUCUAUUCCCAGCUAAACUCACGCACAAAACGGCCAAAUACGAAGCCACCGGCGUCCAGGACUGCUCGCACAGCGGCCGUUGCCAUAGCUGGCUAGCUCCCGUCGCCAAAUCCAUCCAUAAGCUAGCUAAUCAGUUUUGAAUCCUCAGUCGCUUAAUUCAUCCACAAGCUAGCUAGCCAGCCAGCCAGCCAUUCACCCACAAGCUAGCGAGCUAGUUAGCUAGUGGAUGGAUUCGGCGAGCUAGCUAGUGGAUGGAUUUGGCGAGCUAGCUAACUCGCUUAUCGAGGACGGACGGGGUGAGGCGGCGAGAGCGACUAGGAUGGGCGGGGCAUACGACCGACGACUAGGAUUGACGGGCGGCGGUUAGAUACGGAUGGGGCGAUGGUCGAAGCGAGCCAUGAAGGAUCUGAUGAGAGUUUUCGGCAAGAUUCCCGCAAGUUCCAUAGCGAAAAGUCACCGGAGGCCGUGUGCGCACGAUGAAAUUCCCUUGCUGUAUAGUGUUGACCGGUUUACAGUUCAUCCUCAGUUUCGCCUCCGAAACGGUAAAUAAAAGGGUCACGGGGGUGGAUUCUCACGUGCCUGUAAAAAGUUUACGGGUUUGACCACUUUUAAGGGUCUAUUCAGGGUGUCUUAUGACACCGCAGAACUUAAAAUGCUUUUUUUAUGAAUUUGAUCACUUAUGCGAGGUCUGCUAGAGUUGCUCUUAGCUGGAGAUUUAACAUAGAGCGAGGUCACCCAAACAAUAUCCCAUCUUAAAAAACAUAGCUUAAAGAAUGGAUUUUUGGGCUAUUUUCUUUGAUUUCCCCAAACAUUGUUCCUUGAUCACAAAAAACAUAGCUUAAUUAGUUUCAGCAAUGCAAAGGUCAGCUGAAGGUUUCUUUCUUUCUUUGCAUCCGAAGAAAUUUAUAACUAUAUUAUGUGACAUAGAGUUUGGAAUUUGCCAUCAUGACUACGAGCUUAGUACCGGAAAAAAAUUGUCGCCUUGCAGAUUUGUAGGCUAAUGAGGCGCAUUUGUCAUCCAUUCACCGCCAAAAAUACUCUACUUAGAAUGGCUCCGCUCCGCACCCCCUAGCCUAGCCUAGCCCCGCCUCCUCCGGCAGUCGACGAGCCCCGCCGACCCCCCCCUCGCCAUGGACUUCUCCUGCUCCAGCGAGGUGAGCUCCUCCGGCCACGCGCGCCGCUGGCAGGUCUCCCUUGACGGCUCGUCGUCCGUGCGCCCCUAGAGAGAGGUCGCCGCCUCCCCGCGUUCCCCGGCUCCGACGACGCGUCAGCAGGCUGCUACGCCGCCCCGUGCCUACCCAUCUGCCCCUCAUGCGGCUGGUGUGCGUUGGGUGCCGGCCACAACUCGCCUAGGGCCACGCUCGGAGGUGCACUAGGAGAAGCGCGCUGGAGCCGCGGCCGAGGUCGACCAGGAGGGGUUCGAGCUGUUGGGUAACGUAGCAUAAAUUCAAAAUUUUCCUACACAUGUUCAGAUCUUCCUANNNNNNNNNNNNNNNNNNNNNNNNNNNNNNNNNNNNNNNNNNNNNNNNNNNNNNNNNNNNNNNNNNNNNNNNNNNNNNNNNNNNNNNNNNNNNNNNNNNNUUUUCAGUCUUACUCUUUUACUUCGUUGCACUUUCCGCCUUCAGAUCUCACUUUGCAAUCAAUCUUGAAGGGAUUGACAACCCCUUUAUAGCGUUGAGUGCAAGCUCUUUUGUGUUUGUGCGGGUACUCUGGACUUGACGAGAUUCUCCUACUGGAUUGAUACCUUGGUUCUCAAACUGAGGGAAAUACUUACUGCUCAUGUGCUGCAUCACCCUUUCCUCUUGAAGGGAAAAACCAACGCAAGCAAGUCUCCGUCAAUGUGUCAAUUUCUAGCGUUGUUGUUUGAGAAGUAGCACCUAUCACCUUUGGGACUACUUACAUAGCACAAGUCAACUACCAAGUUACUCAGGGAGCACUCUCAAAAAGAUAUAAGUGAAGAUCGGGAGUUCUUAUUUCUCCAAAAUAUGACACCGUCGUGCUCUAAAAGAUCUAAGUGAAGCACACAGAGCAAAGUUAUCUAGCUCAAAAGAUAUAAGUGAAACACGUGUGAGCUAAAUUGCCUAACUCAAAAGAUAUAAGCGAAGCUCAACGAGUAUUCUGGAAAAUUCGCGAUGAGUGCAUGACUCUCUCAAAAGGUGUGCAGCAAGGAUGAUUGUGACACAACAAAAAGAAAAGACUCCUACGAUACAAGACGCUCCAAGCAAAACACAUAUCAUGUGGUGAAUAAAAAUAUAGCUCAAAGUAAUGUUACCGAUGGAUUGAAAACGAAAGAGGGGAUGCNNNNNNNNNNNNNNNNNNNNNNNNNNNNNNNNNNNNNNNNNNNNNNNNNNNNNNNNNNNNNNNNNNNNNNNNNNNNNNNNNNNNNNNNNNNNNNNNNNNNGGGCCUAAAUAUUGGGAUCAAGCCCGACCUGAGCCCAAAAAAGCCUGACCAGGCCCAACCGGCCUGGCCCGACCGUCCGACCUAAAUAUGGGGCCCAAGCCCGGCCCGAGCCCGAAAAAGCCCUACUGGGUCCGACGAGUUCGCGGCUUAAAAUAUGUAUUCCUCAAGCCCAAGCCCGCGUGGCCCGACCGCCGGGCUCAAAUUCUAGGCCCGAGCCCGACCCGACCUGGACUGCCCAUGAUGAGGCAUACUUGUCGCACUUGCCGAGGCUAGAUUUCCUUUCUUCCUUCCACACAAAGAAAGGUAACUGAACUCGUUCGUGCUUUCGAAGUCGAUAAACCAAAUAAAUUUCCAUCAUAAAUAAAAUCCGAAUGCAAGUCUGUGCAUCNNNNNNNNNNNNNNNNNNNNNNNNNNNNNNNNNNNNNNNNNNNNNNNNNNNNNNNNNNNNNNNNNNNNNNNNNNNNNNNNNNNNNNNNNNNNNNNNNNNNNNNNNNNNNNNNNNNNNNNNNNNNNNNNNNNNNNNNNNNNNNNNNNNNNNNNNNNNNNNNNNNNNNNNNNNNNNNNNNNNNNNNNNNNNNNNNNNNNNNNNNNNNNNNNNNNNNNNNNNNNNNNNNNNNNNNNNNNNNNNNNNNNNNNNNNNNNNNNNNNNNNNNNNNNNNNNNNNNNNNNNNNNNNNNNNNNUGCAAGUCUGUGCAUCCCAUGGACACGUGGCAUGGCGUAUUGUCGUGAGACAGGCGGACGGUGUAUAUUUCACGGGCUCGACACGCCUGCCAAAUAACAAUAACAUAAUAAUAUCAUAAGAAAUCGAAAAAUAUAUAAAUCAUAAUAACUACUUUGAUGGAUGGUGUGUACGCUACCACGGACAGAAAAUGUCCAAAACAGGGUGCAUUUGGAAAGAAAUACAAGCCGNNNNNNNNNNNNNNNNNNNNNNNNNNNNNNNNNNNNNNNNNNNNNNNNNNNNNNNNNNNNNNNNNNNNNNNNNNNNNNNNNNNNNNNNNNNNNNNNNNNNNNNNNNNNNNNNNNNNNNNNNNNNNNNNNNNNNNNNNNNNNNNNNNNNNNNNNNNNNNNNNNNNNNNNNNNNNNNNNNNNNNNNNNNNNNNNNNNNNNNNNNNNNNNNNNNNNNNNNNNNNNNNNNNNNNNNNNNNNNNNNNNNNNNNNNNNNNNNNNNNNNNNNNNNNNNNNNNNNNNNNNNNNNNNNNNNNNNNNNNNNNNNNNNNNNNNNNNNNNNNNNCGUGCGGGAGGGGCUGGGUGGGUAUUCAAACCCUACUCCUGCUCCGAUCCGACACAAGCCACGCACUCUUUCUUUCCCCCUUCCCAAUCCAUUCCAGCUAGCAGUACUACUAGUACGAGUAUUAUUUUUAUCCAGCAAUAUAUACUCGAGCUCCUCCUCCUGCGCUAGGCUAGCUCCCUUCGUUCCUUCCUUCCUUCGUCCGUCCGUCCCAGGCUGCGUGGCGUGUGCGUGCGGCGAUACGACACACGGGACUCACGCGCGGCGGCGGCGAGGGUUUUGCCUGCUGCCCUCCCCCCUCCCCACGCGGCGGCGGCCGGAGCGGCUAGCGGGUGCCCGUCGGAUCCGGAGGGAGGCGGCGGCGCCAUGAGGGGNNNNN
rnacentral:lncRNA from 1 species